rnacentral:lncRNA from 1 species
CCGGGGCAAUGUGCGGUUUUGUGGCAUAAAUAAUUAGAGUGGGAUAAAUAGCACCUUACAAAAAUUCUUGUGCUGUGUUUGUCGGUUCAUCUCCCACUGGGACUGGCUAAUUUAGUCCAAGGCCAAGCAGAAAGAGUGAAGAUGAGCGAUCCCAACGUCGGAGGUAGACCCGGCCAGGCCCCGGCAAACGGCGGUGGGGGUAGAGCACCAGUGCCACCUAGAGGAUCCAUAAUCAAGAAGAUUGUGGCUGACUUGGUUAGUCGCCCGUAACCAUUUGAUCUACAUACUCGUCGCCAUAAAGUUAAGUACGAUGUGUGCCGAUAUGUUUGUAUGUAUAUUUUUAUGAAGCCUAACUAGUUGUGAAAUAACAACGGGAAAUCCCCCAUUUGGUGUUGGGGGGGGGGGGGGGGGGGGAAGUGUAAUUGGGGUUGGAAGUUGUAUGGAUCUAUUUGCCAAAUCUUGUUUGGUGUUAAUGUUAGUAUUGUUGAUGAUGAGUUGUUUCUUAUGGGAAUUCUGACUCCAUCAUCAAUUGCAACCUGCAAAUGGAGUUUGUUCUUUUGGUAAAUUAAGUCGGUUAAUUGCUUGCUAAUGACAAUUUUCUUGACUGUGUUCAAUUAUUUGCGAAUUUUAUUCAAUUGUAAAUUUGGUUCAAUUAUUUGCGAAUUUUAUUCAAUUGUAAAUUUGAAUCGUUGAUUAUUAGGUGACGAUGGUGUGAUUUACGAGAAAUUGAAUAAAAUUUUCAAACUCGAGCUGUUUGGCUUGGAAUUGUAUUGCGUCAAAUACGACCUGAAGAAACUCCAACGAGCCAAAUACGACCUGAAGAAAAUAUAACUUGGAAUUGUAUUGAAAUUAUUAAAAUUAUAUAUUACAAUAUUUCAUAUUAUAAUAUAUAACCCUAAUUGAAGUAACAAUGAAGAAAUAGAGGAGCUGCCUACAUAGUGGGCCUCGAAUGUACCUAAAAGUACAAAUAGGCUUGGGUAAAGCUUAAACCGGGUUUAAGUGGGCCGCCCAAUUCGACGGACUAUUUUGCCAUGCCCAAAGUGUAACAAGAAGUCAAUUGGAUGCCAUAUAGAUGGGUAACAUUUUUAUUUAACAUUUUCGUUAUUUUCUUAGUUCUUUUUCUUAUCCUCUAAUGUUGCAUCCAAAACUAUUUAUUUUCUAUACUAUCUUUAACAAUCAAGUUUGACAAAAAUCGUUUAGUUAUCUAAUAAUUAUUCAAUAAAGAAACAAACAAUGUUAUUUAGUUAAACAUUCAGUUCUCAAAACAUUCAUCGAACAAUUAAACUAAUUCUGAUUUGGUUGAAUUUUGUACAGGGUUGACAUUUAAAGGAUAAACUAGAAAAUAGACAAUUUCAAUCAUCGUGCAAUAUUCGCACAGUAAAAAAAAAAUCUUACAAAAAAGUUGGCUGCAAUGUGUAUUCUAGAAGCUGAAGAGGCAUGUGAUGAAAUCAUGAAAGUAGCCACCACCGUUUGAUAUCAUCCCUGUCAACCUAGCCGUUGCUCAACGGAAUUCAUACCCGGCAACAAAAUUCAAAUAUCUGAAAAGCAAAAGAAAAAAAGCAAAAGCCACAUUCACACACCCACUUUUUCCAUCACUUCCCACAAAUUAAAUAAAAAAAGCUAGUACCAACUAUAUAAAUUGUGUAACCACUUACCAUCAUGUUCCUGCAUUAAUUCAAAAUCCAGCAAAUGGGUUCCUGCAUUAGCAAAUGCACACCCAAAAAACACUUCCUACAACAAUUCAACAAUGUCCAAGACAAGUUGAUAAUUUCACAGCCUCCUCCUAGGAUCACCAUCCCUCCAAUUUCUGCUUCCAACAAAAUCUCACCUUGUCCUCAAUCCCCUUCCAACUCCACUUCCUCUGCCUCCUCCUUCCCUUGCACCACAAGCACUUCCUACACAAGCGCUUCCUCCUUGAGCUCAGCCUUGUCAAGUGCUUCUUCGGCCUCCAGCUCGAAAAUUGAUCGUUCUUUCUCCAACGAGUUCUUGUGGUCGUGUUACAAGGAGAACCCGCAUGUCAUUCGCAUUAACUCGAUCAAAGAUGCAAGCUUUUCGAGAUUUUCCCCAUCGGCAUUGCCACAAAAGCCGGUUUCUGCCACUGUAGUGAACAAGAAGCCGCUGCCGAACCUUAAAAGGGCAAAUGUGUCAGUUACACCACAGAAGAGAGUGAGAUCAAGCUCACCAAAUUCUCUAGGAAGGCAAAAGAGCUUCCGAAAAGAGCCAGAGAGGCCUAUGAUCUCUGCAUAUUCACAUCCAAGUAGAACUUUGAGGUCACCCUCCCCAAGUAGAAGGUUCAACAUGCCAAUCCCACCAAAAGAAUUAAAUCAUUUGAGACCUAACAGUGCAUUGAAUGUUAGGCCUGCAGGUUCAUAUUGUUGCGCGACGGACCAGCGUGAGGCCGGUACUAAAUCCACAUCCAAGACUUGUAUCGAGCCACACAACCCCUACGCGAAUUACAAUAAUUCGAGCCGGCGACUUCGGCCUUGUUUGAACAGCAGAGAAACAGAGAUGAGAAUUCACAGGAUCACCUCUAAAAUCGAUGAGGUUGCAGCUGGAGAAGCACUGGCUGACUAUAUGGACUCUCUUCCUGCUGAGGACAUUGAUAACCCUUUAAUUUCUCUUGAUUGUUUUAUUUUCUUGUAGAUUAAUAUUUUGUGUGUGUGUGCGUGUGUGUGUGUGUGUGUGGUCAUGCGUAUAUUUGAAAGGUUGUGAAUUUAUUCAUUUUAUGGUUUGGCAAUGUGGAAAUGAUCUACUGGAUCAUCCAACUAAGUAAUUCUCUUCUGUAUAUUUAUUUGGUUUGGGUUUUUAUUUAAUUUUAUUAGUAGCUUUAAAAAAAAAAUUGUAUCCUUAUUUAAACAUUUGUUUUAAAGGUAAUACGAGGAAUAUAAUUGAUGCAUUUUUUUUGGAGAAAAUCAAACGAGUUCACUCUUUUUCAGUGCAACAAUAUAUUUACAUUAAGUGUUAACCAUAGUGCAGUAAUGCUCAAUAUUGCACAUAGAAGAUUAGAAAGACUUAUGAAGAAGAAGAUCGAAGAAGGAGAGAGAGAGAGAGAGAGAGAGAGAGAGAGAGAGAGAGAGAGAGAGAGAGAGAGAGAGAGAGAGAGAGAGAGAGAGAGAGAGUUUUAAAGAGAGAAAUAAAUCUUUGCAUAUAUUUUCCUUAAUGAAUCUGAUCAAUACAAUCACAAUAUAUCUUGUGUAAGAUUUUGUUUCAUUUUAUCUUUAUCUUCUAAAUCCAUACAACUUGGACUAACUAACUAACCAACUCUUGUAAUCUAGCCUUUCAAACAUUGACAGAUGUCAUAAUCCUAAUGACUUUGAGUAUAUACUCUAACAUCCCCCCUCAAGCUCAGGUUUGGAUGAACUAAGCAUGAGGUUGCUGCAAUGUGUGUUGAAGAAAGGUGCACUGAGUCCUUUAGUUAAGAUGUCUACAAAUUGAUCUGAAGAAGAAACAAAUUGUACCAGUAGUUUCUUGCUUGCAACCCUUUCUCGCACAAAGUGAACAUCAACUUCAAUGUGUUUAGUUCGCUGAUGAUUUACUGGAUUAAAAGAGAAUGCUAUAGCAGACAUAUUAUCACAAAACAAUACUGGAAGAUUAGAAAUUUUGAUUUGCAAGAAUGUAAGCAACUGUUGAAUCCACUCUAAUUCAGCAGAUGUUGAAGACAAAGCUCUAUAUUCAGCUUUAGUGGAUGAACGAAAGACUGUUUGCUGCUUCUUUGAAGACUAAGAGAUGGGAUUGUUGCCAAGAAAAACAACCAAACCUGUAAUUGAGCGGCUAUCAUUGGGAUCCCCCACCCAGUCAACAUCACUAAAGGCUUUGAGAAACAACUAUCCUUGACUAUAAGUAAUCCCUUUAGAUAAAAACCCUUUAAGAUACCUCAAAAUACGUUUAACUGCAGUGAAAUUAGAUAUCAUUGGAGCUUGCAUAAACUGACUAGCCUAAUGCACAAAGAAUGCGAUAUCAAGUCUAGUGAACACAAGGCAUUGCAAAGCUCCAACCACACUUCGAUAAAGGGCAGAAUUAUUAAAAGGCUGGCCAUCAUUUUUAAGAAGUCUACUAUAAGGCAAACAUGGUGUGGCUGCAGGUUUGGCAUCUAUCAUGUCUAUCUUCUUUAACAAGUCAACAAUAUACUUUUCUUGAGACAAAAACAACCUCUGAGUUGUUCUGGAAAUUUGAAUACCUAAGAAGAAAUGUAAAGGACCAAGAUCCUUAAUAUCAAACUCUUUGGUUAAAUCUGCAACAACUUGUUGAAUAGCAGAAGAUGCACUCCCAGUAAUUAUAAUAUCGUCCACAUAUAAGAAAAGAACCAUAAUGGAACCAACAACAUGUUUAACAAAUAAUGAAGAAUCGGAAUGAGUGUUUUUGAAACACUACAGUGGUAAAAAUUGAGUAAACCUAUCAUUCCAAGCCCUUGGUGAUUGUUUAAGUCCAUAUAAAGACUUAUUCAAUUUGCAAACCAGGUAGGGAUACUUAGAAUCCUCAAGACUUUGAGGUUGAGACAUAUAAACCUCCUCAUUUAAAAUGCCAUGAAGAAAGGCAUUCCUCACAUCUAGUUGUCUCAAUGGCCAGUUAUAGUGAGCAGCAAGAGCAAGUAUGAGUCUCACAGUUAUUGUUUUAACAACCAGACUAAAUGUCUCACCAUAGUCCAAAUCUUCCUCUUGACUAAAUCCUUUGGCAACCAAACAAGCCUUAUGUCUAGCAAUACUCCUAUCAACAUUUCUCUUGACUUUAAAAAUCCAUUUACACCCAACUAAAUUCUUUGUGAGGUGGAAGAUCAACCAAACUCCAUGUUUUCUGUGAAUAAAGAGCAUUAAGCUUCUCAUUCAUUGCAUUAAACCACACGAGAACUUCCAAUACAGAUUUAUAUAUGGUAGGUUCAGUAAUAGUCAAAUCAACCACUGUGAAGAUGUUGGCAGAAGAAAAUAGAACAAUUUUCUUAACAAUUCCACUCUUGAAUUGAGUUUGCAUGGGAUGUAAAUUCAAUGGUGGUAUGUCAUCCAUUUGAAGACUUUCAGAGCUAUAUUCAGGAACCAUAUGAGCUGGAGAAUCUUGGGCAACAAUGGACUGAUGUGGUGAUGAUGACUGAGAUAAUAUAUAUGGUGGAGGAUAUUAUGUUGGGGGAGAUUGAGAAGGUAAUGGAUCAGGUUCAUGUAUAAAAGAAGGAACUAAUGAUGGAGAAACUAACACAUUUUGCAAGGUAGUUAUCACAACAGGGAGUAUUUGAGGACUACUAUCGGGCUUUAAACAUUAUGACUGCGAACAUUAUGACUUAGAACUCAAAGCACUGUAGGGAAAAUCAAGUUCAUUGAAAAUAACAUGUCUUGAUAUAUAUAUUUUCCCAAGAUUGAGUUCAAAACAUAUAUAACCUUUAUAGUUCGAAGCAUAUCCCAAAGAGAUACAUUUUGCAGACUUAGGUUAAAAUUUGUUGUUGUUAUAGGGUUUUAAAAGUGGAAAGCAAGCACAACCAAACACCCUUAGGUGCUAGAUUUCAGGAAUAGCAGAGUACAAUAGUUCAAAAGGUGAUUGAUUUUGAAGGAUAAAAAUGGCAUUUGAUUGAUCAAAUAGAUGGCUGUUUGGCAAGCAAAAGUCCAAAACUUAAAAGGUAAAUGUGCAUUCUGUAACAGUGUAAUUGCUGUUUAAACUACAUGUUUAUGCUUUCUCUCAGGCAAACCGUUAUGUUCAGGGGUAUAGGGACAAGAUUUAUGAUGAGAAAUGCAUUGUUUAGCAAGAAAAGACUGCAUAGGUUUACUAAUAUAUUCACCCUUCAUCACUCUAUAAAGUCUUAAUUCUUGCUGAGAAUUGAGUAAAAACAAAGUGGUAGAAUGUAACAAACACAUAAUAAAUAUAAGAUUUAUUGAUUAAAGGAAAGAGUCAACAAAAUUUGGUACAUUCAUCAACAAAAAGGACAUAAUAUUUGAAACCAUCCAUAUAUACACUAGGUGCAGAUCCCUACAAAUCACUAUGCAUAACCUCAAAGGGUAUUACAGAUUUUGCAGAAGCAGAAGAAAAAGGAAGGAAACAUGUAGGUGAGAUGAUGAACCUAAUGAUAAACUGGGGAAUGAAGGAAUUGGAUACAGUCCAUUGUUGCAUAGCCUUUUAUACAAUAUUCUCCUUGUGGUUUUGUCCUGAAUCCAAAAACAGUAAGCAUCGAAUAUUAACUACAAUUGUUGUCAAAACAUAUUCUAUGAACUGACAGCAAAUUAUGAGACAAUUUGGGAAUGUAAAGAACAUAAUUCAAUUUGAUAGAUUGUGAAGAUGGCCGAAUAAGAGAACUCCCAAUAUGUGAAACUUGUAAACCUUCCCCAUUUGCAGUGUGAACGGUCUCAUUAUUUGGAUAUGGAGAGGCCAGAGACAAAUUGCUGAGGUCAUUUGUCAUGUGAUUGGUUGCAUCGGAAUUUGUCAACCAAACUUGUGGGGAAACGAAAUUGGGCAUGGUAGGAGCAUAUGAAGUAGAGACAUUCAUGUUAGGGGUGGUUCGGUAUGGGAUACCUAACCAAAACUAGUACCCCGAAUCUCAAACUGAAAUUUUUCGGGACGAGAAUUUGAAGACCAAUCUCAAACCAAAUUUUCGGGAUUUCGGGACAAAUCGGGAAUCCUAAAUUAAAAUAUGAAAUUAUGAAUUAUUCUUCAAAUAUAUAAUUCAAGAACACAUUCAUGAAUUAUGAAUGUCAUUUCAUUCACACUACCAUUUAAUUGAACACUGGCAUGCCUGACUGCUUUUAUCAAAGUCAAAAUUCAAAUUAAUUAAAACCCUUUUGGCAAUCUGUUGACAGACAAAAGAAUCAAGCCUUAUAAAAUCCUCAACCAUGACAGCAGCAAUAAUAAAAUCCAAAUGAAAAUCAAACAGAACAUGAAAAAUAUGCAAGGUGCAGGGCAUUCCUGAUUGCAGAGCAUGAAUUAGAAACUACUAGCAUCAAUUAUAAAAGAAUAAUAUAUAUCAUAUAUAUGUAUAAAUAUAUAUAUUUUCGGUUCGGUAUGGGAUUCCCCAAAUAUCAAGAAGCCAAUCCCGAAUCUUGUACCGAAAUUUCAGGAUCUGUUCGGGAUAACAUCCCAAAAAUUUCGGGAAUUUCGGUUUGGGAAAUUUACCGAAAUUCCUGGUUUGGGAUCGGGAUUUUUUCGAUUCAGUUCAGGAUUUUUGGGAAUUUUUUCCACCCCUAAUUCAUAUUGGUAGAAGCAUAUGCAUUAGAACUAGUUAUAUGUGUAGAAGAAUUGAGAUUUGGUGUACCAGUUGAAGACAUCAUGUUCAUCAUAGAGAGCAUAUUAGGAUAGUCCAUAUGCAUCAUAGAGGGCAUAUAUGGAGGCUGCAUAUAUCCAGGAAAAGUAGCUUGCAUAACAAUCAUCUGGGAUGAAUGAGGUCUGUUCUUAUUUCUAUAAAAACAAGUUUUUGUAAUAUGGUUACUUCGAUCACAGAUUUGACAGUUCACGGUAGACUCAGAUGAGUUAGUGUUUCUGUAACCACAAGUAGCAACACUAUGACCUUGUUGAGAACAUAACUGACAGAUGAUACUGGACGAAGAUAGACCAUUAUGAAGCCGGGAAGGAUUACUAAGAAUUCCAGGAGUAAAAUCAUGAACAACAGGUUUAUAUCUGAAAUAACUUUGUCCCUGAUUAUUAUAAUAUUUGUGGCCCUGAAAAUUUCCAGUUUUACCUUUACCCUUGUAUUUAAACUUGUGACCUCCAUUAAAGAAAUGAGAUUGGCCAGAGUUAUCAUUAAAACCAUUUGGAGCUUGAAACCCAGAAUGAAAAACUCCUUGAGACUCAGAAGAUGAAGCCCCAAAAUUAGAACCUUGAUUCUUUACAAACAAUGCAGUAGAAAAUGGUAGACUUUGACUGUUCUCAAUAAUUGAUUCCUCUGCAAGCAACUAAGCACGAAGUUCUUUAAGGGAAAUUACAUUCUCUCUGCCACAAAUUACACAUCGAAAUGUGUUAUAUUCCGCAGGUAAACCAUUCAAAGCCAAGAUAACAAUGUCCUCAUCUUCAAAAUUAACCUUUGCAACCGCAAUAUAGUCUAUUGCCUCUUUAAUCUAUUGAAGAUACUGAGAUACAGAAUCUACCCCUUUCUUGAUAGUCUGAAGAUCAUACUUGAGUUGAAAGAUUGAAGUCUUGCUAACUAUAGAAAAACGUUCUUAAAGACGAACCCACAAAUCUCUAGCAUUGGUACUCCCAAUUGCACAAGAAAUGGCAACAUACGAUAAAGUUGCAGUAAUAACUUGCAUAAGAGCCCUAUCAUGCAUUUUCCACACUUUAUAAGCAUCCGACUCAAUUCUUGAACCAAUGUCAACUGAUGAAACUUCAGAAUCACUCGAAGAAAUAAACGAGUAUUGAGGCGGACAACGAGUCGAACCAUCAACAAAUCCCAUUAUCCCAUAUCCUUCAAGCGUCAGUUGCAUAUGAAAAUGUCAUUGAAGAUAGUUGGAGUCAUCCAACUUAACCGACACAGAGGAUGAGAUAGAAGAAAUCAACCCAGUAAUCAGAGACUACAAGAUUUGCAGUAAUCAUUGUAAAGAAUUUUCUUUGAGGAAUAAGAACAAACACUUGGUAGGCAAGAACGACCCAACCGAAUCGAAGAACUUGGGGGUGAAGAGAAAAACCCAGAAAAUCACAAAGAGAUGAGAGAUGAGAGAUGAAGCGGAAGCACAAGAAACCAGAAUCAAAGAAGCUGUCUAAGCCAUUCGGGCGAUUGAUACCAUGUUAACCAUAAUGCAGUAAUCCUCAGUAUUGCACAGAGAAGAUUAAGAGAGACUUAUGAAGAAAAAGAUCGAAGAAGGAGACAAAGAGAGAGAAAGAAAUCUUUGCAUAUUUUCCUUAAUGAAUCUGAUCAAUACAAUCACAGUAUAUCUUGUGUAAGAUUUUGUUACAUUUUAUCCUUAUCUUCUAAAUCCAUACAACUUGGACUAACUAACUAACCAACUCUUGUAAUCUAGCCUUUCACACAUUGACAGAUGUCAUAAUCCUAAUGACUUGAGUAUAUACUCUAACAUUAAGGUGAAUGAUUUAGGUCAACCAUAAUAAUUUGGUAGCGAACUAGUAAAACUUAAAAUCUUCCACUUACAAGUGAAACGAAAUAUCACUAGAUCGUAGUACAACGUGGCUAUACUAUUCAAUAUGUUAGAUAGGAAGAAAUAUCAUCAAACUUUUUAGUUUGGUUGUAUUUUCUUUUUAAUGUUGAAAGAAAAAUGUAAGUGGUAGAUUGUCCUGACAAUUAGAGUCUUUCUGAACCAAAUCCUCUCCUUUUGUAUAGUGUAGAUUAGCCUAAAAUAUCACUUUGUAAUAAAAAAUUAUGUUGGGAAAAUAUAACCGAAACAAAAGGCUAUCAAUAUGUUCAUGGGCCUUUCUUUUUUUGAGUUUCAUUUUGGGCAUUGGAUUGGACAUGAAACUUUGAGAGGAAGUUACUUCACGGAUUGUUUUGCAUCUUGGUUUUGUUUUGAGAGAUGAAUCUGUUGGAAAAUUUAAUAUUAAUAUUAUUAUAUUAAAUUUAUUAAUUGAAUGGAAAUUAGAAGUAGAGUGUUUUGGUAAAAAGAUGUGCCUAUUCAAAUGAAGAGUUGCAACUUUUUACUAUUCAUUAAUAGUCACAUGCUUUCCAAAAAUGUAUCUCAAAUUCUAUAAAUAGGGAAGCUUCCUAUAAACAUAAAACAACUUUUAAUCAUACAUAUAUUCAUACAUAUAGUGUACUAAAUAUUAGAUAUUCUCAUUGAGUCUAUAUAAGAGUUUUCAACACAAUCAUGGAGCCUUGUGAUUUGAAGUGCUGCUAUUACAUGGACGUGAUUGUUGUAUCUUGGGAGACAAGCGCCGAUCAACCAUGAGCACCGUAGUGGGGUAUAAAAUUAUCGUAAUAAUAUAGGGUCUAACACUUUCCUCGACCGUGUUUCCAGGUUUUUCUAAUCCAUUAUGUCAUGUUCAUUUAACAUUGGUUACUCAUGUGCAUGCAUUACUUUGAUAUAUAAUUGCAUGAAUUAUUUUUUAAUUUUCUAUGUGAUUUAAUAAAGCAAUUAGAUCCUAUUUUUCCAACAGAAUCGAAAUGACAUGUGACUGAAUUGGUUUUCAAUGCAUAAAUUUAACAACUCAUAAGAUGCUACAAAGUGAGCUUGACUCUGAGUUUAUCUAUGUUAUCAAUCCAAAAUCCAAACACAUCAAAAUUUCCAUCUUCAACAGUUGACGUUGGAUUGAUCCGUUCGAAUCCUCUCCAUAAUUGUCUCAAAAAUUCCAUCAACCCUAAACUUUGACACUGUUUCAGCAAAAAAAAAAAAUAAAAAAACAAAACAAAACAAAGGAAGGACAGGUAGGCCAUACAUAUGAGAGAUAUUGUGUCCUUGAGAAAAACAAGAAUGUCGAGUUCACGUGAAGCCGUUUUGAUAUAUAUUGCUACAAAUCAAAAGGAUUAAAUAAAAACUAGAUAUCCCUGUCGGCUGGAAGUAAGGUAUAAAAUAUCGAUGAUAUCGGAAAUAUCGGUAGUUCAAAAAUACGGAAAUAUCGAUGGAAAUAUCGGAAUAUUAUUGAUAUCGAUAAAAAUUGAAUAAAAACCACGGAAAUUGUAAGAAAAACUUGGAAAUUUUUAUUGAAACUUUGUAGGGUGUUUAUUUAGUCAAUUAUUUAUUAGUUUAUCACAAAAAAUUAGAAGGAAAUGCAUUGCAUGAUGGAUUUAACUGAUUUAAGUUGAUUAUAUAACGAGCUGGCAAACAUUGUGAGUGUAUUUGGAACUAUCAAAUUAGUCCUUUAUCCUAAUUAAAUCUGAACUCUAUAUCUGGAUUUCGAAACCCUCUCAGGCUGCCACGUGGCAGCCCCCCCAGCACUCAUCACGUUUCUCUCUCUCUCUCCCCUACCCCGAGACCCCAUUUCCUUCUCUCACUCACUUCGACUAUCUCUCUCUUCUCUGCACUGUCUCUCUCUCGAACCCCUCUUACCUCUCUCCCUCUCUUGCCGUGACCACACACACACACGCAGCAGCACCAUCUGCUCCACUCGAGCAGCUCGAGGACACCACCAUCAUCACACAUCAUCAGUCUUAUCUCUCCCGCCUUGUGAGAAUGGCGGAGCCCAUAAACUCUCCGGCGAGUCUUCUUUGAUUUUCCGAUUAGGUAAGUCUUGAAUCUCUCUCUCCGUGUUAGUGUGAAGCUCAAAUUAGUUCGAUUUGCUGCACUGCACAACAGCAGAAUUCCUUCGUUCACCACCGCAGAAAGAAUAGAUAGUGAGCGAGCGAGCGGAGGGGAGACACACCACUCCCACCCCACAGUGACCUCCACCAGAGUAGCGCACACUCCUGCGAGCACCAUCACCACCUGUGAGAGGCGCAGAUCUUGGCAGAGAGAGGCGCAUAUCUUGGUGCUGCCACGACAGAGCUCGGCUGCCGUUCCGACGAUGGAGAGAGAGAGCGAUAUUAUCGAUAAUAUCAAUAAUAUCGCGAUAUUUUGACGAAAACUAAUUGGAUAACCAUUAAAAUAUCGGUAACGUGAAAAACCGAUAAAUCAGCGAAAUAUCGUCAAUAUUAUUGGCAUUUAAGACCUUGGCUGGAAGCACUUCAUCUUCUGUUUAGCAGGUUAAUUACAUUAACAUUUUUUGAGAUUUAUUAAUUUUUCACACAAUUGACUCAUGUUUGAGUCAUUACAUUAAUACACUUUCAGAUUUUAAUUCCCUUUCGUAUAACCUCUUGAGUAAAAAAAUCUAGUUAUAAAUUUACUAAUUUACCCUUACAAGUAAAGAAAAGUUCAUAUUUUUGUUGAAUAAGAAAAUCUUUAUAAAUAUAUAGAAAAAAAAAUCAAAUUAAAACAUUAUAUAUUAAAAAACAAAAAAUUUAGAAAUCAAAACGUCAGAGGCAGGGACGACAUAGUUGUUUAUCUCGCCAAGCUCAUUAAUUUGGUUUUCACCGAUGUCGUCGUGUCCAACCAGCCUAUACGGUUUCUGUGUAGGUUUUAGUAAAUCGAAUUUAAGAUUCAAUUUGGAUUCUUUGUAUAAUUGUAUCUCAAAUGAAAAAUUAGAGCGACAACCCAGAUCUUCAUUGUCUUGGACGGCCCCAAGGAAUCAAUAGUGGAAUUAAAAUUACAAUACAAAACCCUCGGGGUUGAUGUUGCGAUCAUUGUCGUAUUGUCCUUUUAAAUUUUUUUAAUGUUUUAUAAUUUUUUUAAUAUAUAAUUGUAAAGCUUUUCUUUAUUAGUUUCAAGUAAUAAUAAGAGGGUCGUUAAGUAAUUUACAAGCAAAUUUUUUACUCAAAGGGUUAGAUGACAAGGGAAUUAAAACCAAGGGGAUGUUAGUGUAAUGUCUCAAGAGCUAGGGAUUUUGUGAAAACCCAAUAAACCUCAAAGAGUGUUAGUUUAAUUAACCCUUUGUUUAGCAUUUGCUAUUUUCUAAUGAAAAAAUUUGAGGAUAAGAAAGGCUAAUUUUUUUUUUUUUUUAACAAACGAUAUUAUCUACACUAAAGAGAGAAGUGAUGGACUUAGCCUCACAAUGGGCUAGCAAUAAUGUGGUUCAAACUCGCAUUUGGCAAGAAUUGAACAUAAGAUCUCUCACUUACAAGUGAAGAGGAAUACCACUAUACCGUAGUACUAAGUGGCAAGAGAGGCUAAUUAAGCUGCCUAACCAUGGAUUCUUGAUGCAGUUUAGGGUUAGUCAUAUGGAUGAUGUCACAUUUUCAACCUUAAAUUAUGCAACGGGUGUGUGAUUUUCAGUAUAAAAAUGUGACUUACCCCUUAAAAUUCAAUUUUCUUUAUUUAAGAACCACAAGUAUUUUCUCUAACACUAACUAAGCAAAUUCAUUAAUUUAAUUUAAUUUAAUUUAAUUUAAUUUCACCCAAUUUAUAUUUUCGGUUGCCUAAAAUGCCCCUAAUGAUGAGGGGAACCAAACACAUGAGUUUUAUUGGCGGUGUCUAUCGUGUUUACUUCAAUUUGGUUAUUUCUUAUCUAAUUAAUGUGGACUAUAUGUAGUGAUUUCAAAUAUAUUGUAUUUAAACUACAUAUUAAUGAAAGGAAAUUGUUAUUAGCAUUUCAAAAAUCUCAUUCUACACUCCAAACUUUCUAUAUUAGGAAAGAAAGAAAAAACACUUGUGAAGAGUGUAGAAUAAGAAUUUUUGAGUGUCAAUAACACUUCCCUUAAUGAAAUCCUCUUUAUCAACCAAAAUACGGUGAAAAGACAUUUUUAUCUUUUAUUACAACAAAAAAGUUAAGGAUUUCACAAAAUAAAUUUUUAAUUUUUUUGUUUAAACCUUGCCUACAGAUGAUUCUAUCAUCUCUAAUUUAAAAAAAAUAAAUAAUAAACCCUUCUCCAUCUCUCCUCCACGUUAUGUCUCUCUUCCUCUCCUUCAAUUUUAAAAACAAAAAUGAAAAAUUUCACAUACAUUUUAUGUGUGGGCAUAUACUAGUUUAUAUAAAACUAAUCUCUUGCCACAUGCGUUGACUUUUUUAUUUUUUAUUUGAAAAAACAAAAUAAUAAUAUAUUUUAGAAAAUAAUAAAGUUAGUUACUAACUAAUCCAUGGGGUUAUUUUUUUUGUAAAUUAUUUACUUUAUUUGAAAAUUUAAUGGGGAAAAGGGCAAUUUUGAAAUUAUGAAUGUUUCACCAUUUUUUCCUUCUCCCUUUAUAUAUACCAGUAUAUGCCAACACAUAAAAUGUGUGUGAAAUUUUUCAUUUUUGUUUUAAAAUUGGAGGAGAGAGGAAGAGAGAGACAAAACGUGGGAGUGGGGAGAAAGGGAGAAAUGUUUAUUUUUUAUUUUUAAAAUAUUAGAGAGAUAGAACCAUUUGUAGGUGAGGCUUAAACAAAAAUAGCAAAAUUUUGUUAUAUGAAAUUACGUCAUUGUCCUUAAAUUUUUUGUUGUAAUAGAAGACAAAAAUGUAUUUUCACCCUCUUUUGGUUGACAAAAAGGGUUUCAUUAAUAUGUGGUUUAGAUAUAGAUAAAAUACAUUGUAUUUUGUAACAAAAUCAGAGCUCAUUUGGAAGUGCUUUUAAAUGACUGAAAGUGUUUUGGUGAAAAUAUUCUUGAAACAAAUCCUUAGUCAAAAUUCAAGUGAGUCCUAGAAAAGCACACAAAGUGUUUUCUGCAAGAAGCACCAGGUGCUUCUUCCAAAAAACACUCAAAGUGCCUUUGGAAACUAAAAUCAAUUUCACCAAAAGUAGUUUUAGUCAUUUAGAAAACACUUCAAAUGGGCCCUAAAUUGAUUUCGUGUGUUUUGGUAAGAGAAAUUUACCUUACAUGUAGGUAUACAAAGGAUAAACCCAAACAUAUAUAAUUGUAUUAAGAUGUUUUAACCAAUUCUUACUGUGUUCAAUGUACACGCCACAUACAAUACACCCAACUCAUUACUGUGUUCAUUGUCUAUCGUUUUGUUUUUUUUUUUUUUUUUUUAACAAAUCGAUAUUAUCUACACUAAGGAGAUGGGGUGUCGCCUUUGGCGAGAGUUGAACCUAAGACCUCUCACUAAUCAGUGAGAAGGAAUACCACUAGACCGUAGUACUAGUGGCUCAUUGUCUAUCGUAUUUACUUCUCAAUUUGGUUUACUUCCCAAAUACAUGAGUUUUAGUGGCGGUUGUCUAUCGUGUUUACUUCUAUAUUUGGUUUCUUCUUAUCUAAUUAAUGUGAAUUGUAUGUAGUUAUUUCAAGUACAUUGUAUUUAUAUAAAAUAAAAUACAAAAUUAGCAAGGGCGGACCCUAAGAUUAUUAUAUGUCUAAGAAAUGUUUGUGAAUUUUUACAUAUGGCCUUUCGAAUUAUUUUUCCUAGAUCCGUCAUAGAAAAUUAGUAAACGAUUUCUUGUGUUUUGGUAAGAGAAAUUUACUAUAAGAUGUUUUAAUCAAAUUCAUUAUUGUGUUCAAUGUACACCCAACUCAUUAUUGUGUUCAUUUUAUACAUGGAAAAGGAUCCAACCUCUAUAUUUUCUUUAAAAUCAAUCUUCCAAAUAUGCUCAUUACAUACCAAAAAAAUUACCGAUAAGAUUCAGUGUUUUGGCAACGAAAUACAGAUCGGUCAUUCAGCCAAAUAUUUCCUUUGAAAUCAAUUUCCAAGUAUAAUCGUGGAUACACACGAACGUCUUGGCCAUCCAAAUACUAGACCCCAAGUUUCUUUCAACACCCUUUGGAACACUCCUCUUAUAAAUUCUACAUAAAUUGGAACCUAUCUUGGCCUAUUCUCACAAUUGUCCGUCUCCUUAGCGGAAAAAGAAAAUUGUCCGUGUCCUACAAUACCAAACUAUGGAUUCGAGUGCCUCAGUUCUCUUGUCCUCUCCAUCAAAGCUCGAAAACCAUCAGGAAACCAAUAGCCAUAUCCAAAAGGGAGGUAUUGCUCCUUUCAUUGACUCAUCAUAUUUGCAAAAACAAUCCCAUGUCCCCACUGGUUUCAUUUGGCCUGAAAGUCACUUGGUUGCUGCUCUUGAGGAGCUCAAUGAACCAUUGGUGGAUCUUGAGGGUUUCUUCAAGGGUGAUGCUGUGGCAACCGAGCAUGCUGCCAAACUCAUUAGGGCAUCUUGCUUGAGCCAUGGUUUUUUCCAAGUGACCAACCACGGCGUUGAUCCAAAUCUCCUCAAACUCGCUGAUGAUCACAUGGAUCAUUUCUUCAAGCUCCCCGUCGAAGAGAAAGCAAAGGUGAAAAGGGUACCUGGUAGCCCUUGGGGUUAUUCUGGGUCUCAUGCUGAUCGAUUCUCAACCAAUUUGCCAUGGAAGGAAACUUUGUCUUUUGGUUUCCAAGCGAAUGGCACCGACACAGUUGUGGCGGAUUUCUUCAAAUCCAAACUAGGCGAAGAUUUUGAACAAACAGGGUAAGUCUUAUUUAUAAAUGGUACAUGAUCAGUAGUGCUACAUGACUCACACUAAUUACGUUUGUUUUUCUUACACGUGUGGGCAGCAUUUUCUAAAUAGUAUAUUUAUAAACAAGCUGGAUGUGUUUAAUUUAGUUCUUGCAAACAAAGGGAUUUUUGAACAUUAAUCCUUGUAAAAGAUUAAAAUUUAAAAAAAAUCUGGUGCUAGAUUAAAUAUUCAAUUUAAUCCCUUGGGUGUACUUUUAUCAAAAUUUACAUUCAAUUUUUGUUAUUUAAUGUGUAUUUUUAUUUAAUCUCUCCAUAUUAAAUUUUAAUUUUAUUAAUAUGCACAUAUUUAGUUUUUUUUAAUUAGAAAUGAAUGUAAAUGAGAAAUAUUAAAAAAAAAUUGUGAUACAAAAAUAUAUAAAUACAUAAGUGUUCAUAAAUGAUUGUGCCAAAAUAUAUAAAAUUGACUUUUUGUACCGAAAUAUAUUAUAAUGAACCUAAAUGUAUGUACCGAAAUGUAUUAUAUUGAAUUAAUGUACCUAAAUGUCAAUACCGAAAUGUAUGUACCUAAAUGUCAAUACCGAAAAUGUAUGUACCUAAAUAUCAAUACCAAAAUGUAUUUACCGAAAUAUAAUAAUUGAAUUAAUGUACCUAAAAGUCAAUACUCAAAUGUGUGUACCAAAGUGUACGUAACGAAAUACAUUAUAUUGACCGAAAUGCGUUAUAUUGAAUCAAUGUAACUACAUGUUUGUACCGAUGGAUAUACAAAAAUAUUCAAAUGUAUUAAUGUACCUAAAUAAAGAACAUACAAAAUUGUUAUCGGAAUAUAUAUUAUAAAAAAAUUAGUUGCCUAAAUGUAGACAUUAAAAUAUAUUAUGAUGAAUGAAAUAAAAAUUAAAUUUAAAUGUAAUUAAUACAUUAAAAUAAAAAUAAAAGGAUAAAAUAAAACAUCAAAAUACAACUAAUAAAUGAUAUGAUUAAAUGUGCUAGGGACUAAAAUUGGAUUUUAAUCUUACAUAUGGUUAUAAUCUAAACUCAUCUUUUUUAAGGAUUAAAAUGAAAUUUUCUAUUUGUUGUAUAUAGGCUGGUCUAUCAAAAGUACUGUGAAUCAAUGAAUGUUUUGGCUCUUUCAAUAAUGGAGCUGCUUGCAAUCAGCUUGGGAGUGGAUCGGAUGCAUUACAGAGAAUUUUUUGAGGAUGCUCACUCAAUCAUGAGGUGCAACUUCUACCCGACUUGCCAAGAGCCAAGUCUUACUCUCGGAACCGGACCUCAUUGUGAUCCAACAUCCUUGACCAUACUCAAUCAAGACCAAGUUGGAGGGCUUGAUGUGUUUGUCAACAAGAAGUGGCAUUCGGUUCGACCGAUUCAAGGUGCCCUAGUCAUCAACAUUGGUGACACCUUCUCGGUACGCAUACAUGCUCUUAUAAUUGAUAAGGAAUAUCUAGAAGAGUAAUGUUAUUCAUAUCAUGUUUUUGUACCACAUUUUCAUAUCACCUUAGGUGACAUUUGAUAUGGACAGCCACAUCAUUUGAAUUAAUUAGAUUUUUAAAUUUGGUUCAUUAUUUAAUAAACUAAUAAUUAAGAAAAACUAGUUAAUUAAAUGAUGAUUAUGGUAUACGAGGAGUCUUUCUUAUUCAUUUCCUUAGGUUUUGUAAAUUUUUCAAAUGAUGUGGCAAUCUACAUCAGAUGCCACCUAAAGUGGUAUAGAAAUGUGGUACAAAAAUAUGAUAUGAAUAAUAUUACUCUAUUUAAGAUAGUAAUUAUGCUUGAGUCAUAUUGGUUUCCCCACCAAAUUUGUACGUGGCACCACUAUGGUUUCAUAGAUUAAUCAAUUUUAGGAAAAAAACUGUGGCUACUCCAACAAAAAGAAAAAAACAAGGUGUCUUUCCAUCAAUGUUCCAGAUUAUGGAUAUUAGGAAAUCUUGACGUACAAGAAUGGUAAAGGAUUGAUAUGGGGGCUAGGUUAGUGUUAACAGAAAAUACAAGAAUCCUAGUGGCUAGUGGCCGGCCCCCAUUAGCAUUUGUACAAUCUGUGAUUUUGUUGCACACACGUACACACAUGCAUAUUUUUUGUGCAAAUAUUAGGGUUUUGCAUAGGUAUAUUCUAGAAAAAAACCGAAUUAAUGAGUUUCAAUGUAUGACAUGGCAGACAAGCAAUGAGUACUCAAAGCCACUGGGAACAGGUAGUAUCAUGAUGGAUAUGUUGAGAGUAUUGAAGAAUGUAAUGAAAAUAAUAAUCAAUGCCCCAUCAAUUAACAUUAUCUAAGUAAUUGUUUGUGUAUAAAUUGUUCCCUGCAUGCACAUAUAUACUCUAUAUAAAUUUAGUUAGAUUAGGAGCUGACAUGAUUCAAAAUCAGGCCAUAACACAAGAAUUCAACAUCUUUUCAUUGUGGUAAAGGGCCAACUUGCACUAUGUAUUUUGUUCUCAUAAAGUUGAAUAGUGCUGAUUACCAAUAAUUGAAUCCGGAUCCUUGCCGGAUCCUCUUUGUGAGGAUCUUAGGAAUCCGUGAAUCGUGUCAUUUUAUCGUAUAUCGUACGGUCAGAAAUCAUUUUAAAUAUUUUUAUUUAAAAUUAAACACAAACAGUAGCUGAUAAAAAUUGACCGCAUCAAAUACGAUGAACGGACACUAUUCAUGGAUCCCUAAGAUUCUCACUAAAAGGAUCCGGAGAGGAUCCUGUUGGCCAAUAAUUAUAUAGUUUAACUAAUUUUUUAAUUAAUUAAUCGAUAUUUUAAUUAUGUUUAUAUAUAGGCAUUAUCGAAUGGGAAAUACAAGAGUUGCUUGCACAGGGCAAUGGUGAACAGGCGCAAGGAGAGGAGAUCGUUGGCAUUCUUUUUGUGCCCAAGGGAUGACAAGGUUGUGAAGCCCCCCGAGGAUCUUCUGCGCAAAGAACAAGAGACAAGAAAGUACCCGGAUUUCACAUGGUCAGAUUUGCUCCGAUUCACUCAAUACCAUUACAGGGCUGAUGAAGCUACCCUCCAAAACUUCACCAAUUGGUUCCUAUCUGAAUCCAACUCCACCAAUUAAAAUAUAUCUCCAGCUAGCUAGCAAUGGAGUAGUACACAGUUGAAGUUCUCUGGUUCUCUAGUUCUAUGAGAGGGUGCGCGCUCAUGUCAGAGAGUGAUAUUUUUAUAUUAAUCAGUGUACACAGUUGAUCGAGUUGUAAGAGUACUUAACCAAUUAUUGGUUAAGUAGCUAGGUAGUUUCAAUAAUAAAUAUUAAUGCAAAUCUUAGUUAUCAGUGAAUGCUCAUUUUUAAUUGUAUUACCAUAUGCAUGCAGGAGUUCUUCUUUUACUUUCUCUCUGUUUUUGCCUUGUAAAUAUCUCAUAGUUUGACUCAUCACAGUCGUGUUAGGUAAGAUGCAGUGUUAGGGCUGGUUUGGUAUUGCUGUGCUUUGAAAAAAAACUGUUGUGAAAAUAAGCGGAUGUGAAAUAAAUCAGCAGAGUGUUUGGUAAACUUUUUUUGUAAAAGUGCUUUUGGAAAAAAAAGCAGUCUGAUAGUGAGUAUUUUCAUUAAAUGAGCACUGUAGCUCCGUGUGCUUUGAAAAAAAAGCCAGUUUUCCAAAGUUGCAAAUAGCAGCUUCAGCUUUUUCCUUUGAUUCCAGCUUAUUCUCACAACAGCUUCCAAAAUAAACUUUUUUUUCUCAGUUUACCAAACACCUAAAACCUUCACAGUUUUUUUUCAUAGUUGCUUUUUUUUUUAAGCACCUCACUCCCAAACCACCCCUUAGUCCAUUUACUUGCACACUGACGGUGACGGUGACAGCAAAUCUCUAAAGACAAAACGGUCGUAUAUAAUCUAACUCUAGCAAGAAUCACAAAAGGAGGAAAAAGAUUGCCUCCAUGUCUCUAUUUGAAUGUACCUACACCGUGCGUACAAGUCAUUUAACGGAUAGAUAAAAGAGGAGAGCGUAAAAAUGAAAAUGAGAAUGCAUAAGUUACUCGUCAGUUAAAUAUGUUUUCACGAUUUCGAGGGAAUCCACUUGUACAUUUUACUGGGACAUGCAAAGCUUCACGAAAAAAAUAAAAACCCUGACACGAGGCUCUUUUCUUUUUUGUUUUUCUUUGCAAUAUAGGACAACCAAGAUGGACGUCGCAAGGAGGAAGCAAAUAUUUGUUAGGAGCCAAAGCUAAGGACAACCAAAACUCCCUUUAGUUUCUCAACUCAGAUGGUCUUCAGCUAGAGACCAACCAACCACAUUUGUUGGGAUCGAAAAGAGGUAGAAGGACUGCUGCAGAGGUAGGCCUAUAAAUCUGUAUGCGCGUGUUUUAAGUAUUCAAAUGUUUGUGUUUGGUAAGUUAAAACUAUCAUGCUUCAACUUGUACUUUUGUAGUUUAUAACAACUAUUUUCCCAACGAGUAAUGCAAUCAUUGGCAGAUUAUAUAUUAUAUGUUUCCAUAUAUAUGUUAAUCAACACAAAAUAUGUUUAUAUUGUCAAAAUGUGAAUAUAAACCACAUAGAAUCUAGUUUUCUUUUAACCGAAAGAACUCAAAAUCUCUGGAGGGUUAACCUAUUUAGAUAUUUAGAAUUUAGACGAUUGAUCCAAAAGUAGGUGGUGGGGCUGUUUUACCAAAUGAUCAUAUCGAAGACAGUCUUAAAAAAAAAAAUUAAAGAAAACGAGACAAAACUGGAACAUCUCCAAGUGUGAAUGUUCUUGUUAAUUAAUAAAGCUCUGUUGGAGAAGAUAACAAUUUACCGUAAUUCAAAUUCAAUUUGUUUAGCUCGUUAAAUAAUUAUUUCGUUUUUAGUUUUUAUUUUUGUGUUAGUGUAAUAAAGAAAAAUGUAAGGAAAAUGAGAGUCGAAGAAGAGUGGAUGAAUGAUAUUACGAAAAAGACAAAAGAAAAACUAAAAAGAUGAACACUAAACCAACAGCAAAAAAUUGUUUUAAGUUGUUUUCACUUUCAAUUAGUUUUUGUUUUGUUGUAAAAAAAAGUUUUUGUUUUGUUCACUCUUCCUUCUUUCUUUUCCCAUCUCCCAUCACCUUUCUUCCUCCCUUCCCCCUCUAUAUAUUUUCCUCAUAUCUCAUAAACAAAAAAUCAAAACAAAAAACUACAAAAAAAAUGGUUAUUAAACGUCUCAUGUUUUGUACUUGGUAGGAAAUACAUAAUGCAUGCAUUUAUAAAUUGGACCCCUUAAUUAUGUUUAUGUUUAUGUUUGCCGACCGAUACAAAAAUAUAUACGUUAGUCCGUGUUUCAAUGAAGAAGAAAAUAGUAGCUCGGCCCCCACCGAUGGCAAUACAAGUAUUGAUCCCUUUAUAAGUGGACUAAUAUUAUAUUCCCCAUUGAAAACAACUUGGUCCUAGAAGUGGUGCAAUAUUGGAUUAGCUAACAAGUAGUAGUACGUACAAAUAAACGCAGAUUAUGGACUGAUCAAUCGGGCCAAGUCAAUAAUUCAGAGGCCACUAACAGCUUGGAUUUUGGUUCUUUAAAAGAAGGGCAGCAACGUGCAUGAUUUCAUUUCUGUCUAGCAGGUUUGUCAGCAGGUUAGACAAAUAUUUGGGACCCUUGGUAUCAAAUUUGCCCAGCAGAGGUGUAAUCAUAAAUUUCCUAAAGUCAUCGAUUUGUUCUACAUUUCUCUAGAUUGAUCCGGACACUUAUUACAGCAGUUUUGGAUUGAAUUGAAAUACUGAAAUUUUGGAUAAAGAAAUUUACACAGAUUGCACAAGUGAUGUGAAGUGAUCAACCUUCUAGAUGAAGCAUGUGCAUCAGAUUAUAUUAACGUCACACUAGAAAGUAGGGACCAAGUUUUGUUUUUCUUUCUUGUUUUUUUGUUUGUUUUUUUCAUUUUUUGGUCCGGAGGGACAAAGACUGUUAACAGAGUAAAACAGAAGGUCCAAAUUGGUCAAAUAUUUUAGUAAAGCAAAAAGAUAUAAAAUUGGUAUUUAACUGAGAAGAUACGUAAUUAAGUAGUUAACAUAUAUUUUCCGUGCAAAGAUAUAUAUUUAACCUUGUUUUUGGAGGCACUCAAAAGUUUCAAAUUUUGUUGGUUGACAACAGGGCAUAAGCCCGAAAGAAAAGGAAAAAUUACAUAAGAAUAUUACGAGGCCACGAGACCUCACUUAUAUCUAUAACUAGCAAUUGAUGACAAGAAGGAAGAGCUUACGAAUUUUACAAUAAGGGUACGACAAUUCAAUAAUAAACUUCCUAGAAGGUGAUUAUCCACUUUUGCAUUUGAAAUCAAUUGUACUGCAAGCACAUAAGAUCUCACCUUGACCAGGAUUAGAAUAAAAGCCAUAAACCUACCUCGACGUGUUUCUAACGUCACCACCAACAUCAAUGAAAUUGGCCAUCUCUUGUGACGCCCAUAACAUUAAGCUUUAUCCAACCCUCAGGAGGAGAUUCCCAAUAAAGAAAACAUGUGUUCGAAUGGGCAUUAUGGAGGAAACCAUCUUCCUUUGAAGCCAAUCUUUCAAGUAGGCAAUAAUAAUAGAUUUGGAUCAUUAUGGAGAGCAAAAUCAUGUUCAAAAAUACUUUAAUUUGUUUCGUCAGGGCAACAAGAACCAACAAAUGAUACAAAAAAUAAGCCUCUAUUCCAAAUUAUCCAAGACUAAUGUUUUGGAAGAGAAAUUAUUUUGGAAUCAAUUAGUAGUACAUGCAUCGGUAAAAAUUGAUCAGGAAACAGGAAAACUUCUCCAAACCUUAGCAACAAAGGAGCAAUCUCUAAAGAAGUGAAUAAUUGGUUCAAAAGCAACAUCAUAUCUGCCGCCAUGAAGAAUCCGUAGUCAACCCCGUCUAACUCGUAGAGCAUUGGUUAAUAAUUUGUCUAGCAACACAAGACAAAGAUAGGAGGAAGAUGCACACCCAGAUAAAGCUCCAUCGCCACUUAGUAUUUAUAUUACCGUUUAGAUCUAACAUAUAGGCAAACUUCACAAUUAAAUUACUAUCAUUAAUUGGUCUCUAUAUACAAUUAUCUGAUGAGCCACCAAUUUUAUCCACAAGUAUUAUUAAAGCACUAUGCAAGUCUUUGGAGGAACUUCAUAUUUUUCUGCCAAUGAGGUGUUGUGCCUAAAGAAAAAACUUAGAGACUGUUCACUUUUAACGAAAAUGACAUUUUUACUCUAAAAAGUUACUCAUAGUAUUAUUCACUUACAACAUCUUUUUGUUAUUUUGAUUAAAACUCAAAAUUUUCAAGUAAUUUCCAUUAGUUUUCUUAAUUUUAUAUAUUUUGCCAACCAACCAAAGUACACUGAUGUUCAGCCCACCUAAUCUUUGUUUUAGGCUUAAUUUGUAUGUAAGUUCCAUUUUUCUCCUUGAAGUUGCAACUUUGUGAGUUUAUUUUUUUGUUUUCACUGAUUUUGUCAUGUCAUCCAUUUCAUUAAGUUGAUCAAGAAAUGGUUAAAUUAGCUGAUGUGAAACUGACCAAAAAACCAAUGUCUUUUCUUUGACACAAAGCGAUAGGCAUAUUUCAUUAAUAAAGAUUAAGCCCAUGAACUUAUUAUUUUAGGUCGGAACAAAUUGAUAUGAUCCUCUUUUUUACGUCUUCAUGUCUCCUAAGAACAUAUUAGGUACAAUAUGGUGCAAAAAGAGUACAUCUUAUUUAUUUAUUUAUUUUCAGUUUUGACAAAAAAUAUGGCAUUUUCUUCAAUUAUUAUUUUUUUAAUUUGGAGAGUAAUUCGCAUCAUAAAUUAGCAAAAGAUGAUAGACGCAACAGAUUCAACACUAAAACACACAUAAAACCAUCCUCAAAAUAAGAGAUCACAUCAAUUCAACGAGCAAGAUAGAAACCACCAAUCAACUCAUUUCACACUAACUACAUUGUUUGUAGUCUUGUAGAUAGAUAAUUCCUUUAUGAACUCAUUUAUUUAACUAAGAUAAUUCCCUUUCGACUCUAGCCACCCACAUACAUUUUAUAUAAAGGAUUGUGCUAUCCACACAUCUCAUUUUACUUCUCACACAUUCUUGAUAAUUUAUGUCCAUUGAUCUUCUUCAAUUCAUCUGAUCCGACGGUCGAAAAUUAAAAAGGUAUGUGAGAAGUAAAAUAAAAUGUGUGGAUAUCACACCCCUUAUAUAAAAUAUGAUUCAUUGCUCUAAAUCCUUUUUAUUUUUGGAUAUAGCUGGUUCUUCAAAGAAUUCCAAAAGCCAAAUUUUUGUUCUAGUAUUUCCGUCUCUCGUGCUUCAUAAGAGCAACUCCAGCCUUGCUGGUUGCUCGGGCGUCAGGCGAGGAGAAAGGGCCCUCGGGCCGGUGGGAGCAAAUCCAGCGGGGAAGGGCCCGAGUGAGGGUGGGAGGUCGAGCGAAGGGGGGGGUGGGGAGUCGACGGGCCUGUGGCCCGAGGGUUUUGUAUUUUUGUAUUUUUUUUGUGUCAGAGAGAGAGAGAGAUAGCUUUUGUAAUUUUUUAUUAUUUAAACAAACAUACAAAACUAUUAUUUUUAUUGCUUAUUGCCAGGGGGGAGGGUUCUAAGGGUGGAGAUGUAAAUGGCAAUUACUGUUCAUUAAUGGUAAUUACUAUUCAUUUAAGACAGUUACUGUUCAAUAGGGUGGAUUGAAUAGUGGAUUGCCAGGGGGAGGGCUCCAUGGAUGGAGUUGCUCUAACAAGUGUUUACUUUAGAGGGUUGUUGACUUCCUCCAAUAAUGGUUGGUAACUUGGGUUAAGUUAAAUAGUAAUUGUGCUUCCUCUUAAUAAAUUGGUAGUCUCGAUCCUUGUAGAGAACCAGUUACAUUUUCUAUUUUAUUAUAGGGAAGUGUUAUCCACACAUCUCUUUUACUUCUCACACACAUUUUUUUUAUUUUUGUCAUUUAAUCUUCUUCAAUUCAUUCAAUCUGAUGGCCAAAAAUUAAAAAGAUACUUAAGAAAUAAAAAGAGAUGUGUAGAUAUCACAUCUCUUAUUAUAUCAGCGUCUCCAAACACCUGAAUUCAUUACAGUAUUUGUUGUAUUGUGUAUGGUUUUCAUACAAAUCACGGUAUGUGAAUCUUCUUUGGGUUUAUCUUGGAAAGUCAAUUAAUUUUAAAGUUUAUUUAUAUACAACAAUAGCAACAAUUAAACUUUAUCUCACUAAAUAUGAUUAUGAAUCCUGGAAUGCUAUUACACUCAAUUUUACGCCAAGUCUUUUAUUAGCUCUAAAUAAUCUAUAUCUUUUAUUAUAGUUUCUUUCAAAGUCUUCUUAGGUUUUUUUAUAUCCCUUUUACCCUAAGAUUCCCUCGCACAGCCGCAUCUUCUAACCCGAGCAUCUGUAGGUCUUCGGUUUACGUGUCCAAAUCAUCUUAACCAAUUUUCUCUCAUUUUGUCUUCAAUUACGGCCACUCCUACUUUAACUCGGAUAUCCUCAUUCUUAAUCAUAUUAUUUCUUGUGUGCUUACAUAUCCAACAAAGCAUCCUCAUCUCCGUUGCAUUUUCCUUCAUACUCCUAAUCCAAUUGUGACAUAACGUUCUGAAAUUUAUUGUAUUUUAUUCUUAGUAGUAGUGAAAUUAUCAAAUUGCCCAUGAGAUGCCGCAUAAGCCUUCCACACAACCUUAAUUUUUCCUUCACUUUUUCACUCUUAUUUUACUAUUUUUAAAUACUACUUAUUUUUACAAACGUGUAGGUAUAAGCAGAACUUAAUUCGAAGUUGUGACGAACUCGUUAUGUUCAAAACUAAGUAAAAUUACCGGGAUAAUUUCAAAACUUGUACUGUGGCUUCCGGCAGUAGGCUGCCUCAGUCUUGUCUAUCUGAUAACCCUGGUGCAGACUAAAUGCAUGGGUUUGAAAAAUUGAACAUCACAUGGGUUGUGGACAAGUGUGCUAUUAAAAUAAUAUUUCUUUUGGAUUUUGAAAACCCACACUUGUUCCAUCACACACAUCACCAUAAUUUUCUUCCUUUUUUUGGCCGGUCUCUCAUUCUCUCACCCGUUGCUUUCUUUCUCCCUGAAACCGGAUCCUCUCCGGAUCCAAAUAAAUUGAGUUUUCUGAGCAAAUGAUUACUAUUAAAAUUUGAUUCAACAAUUAUAAUUAUUAUAAUUUUUUGAGAAUUCCUUUUUUAGCUAUUUAAUCAAAUUUUAACGAUUCAGAUCAUUAGCUCAGAUGAUUCAACUUAUUUGGGUCCGGAAGGGAUCCGGUUCCUCUCUCUCCCCUCUCUCACGUCACAUCUCUCACUCUUCCCCUUUUCACUUCAUUCACUCACUCACAAGUUCACAACCCUCUCUGUCUCUCUCUACCCACUCACUCAACAAUUAAUUUCCACUUUCAUUUCACUCAUCUGUCUCAACCUCUCUCCAUUGCACUUCCUCAUUUUUCUGAAAACCUCACUCUCUCUAAACCCGAGAGAAGAGAGCUCUCACUCUCCCACUUACCUUCACAACUAAGCCCUAUUUUCUACAUAUUCGAAGUCUGUGGGAUGCAAGGAUCACAUUGGUGGUCUUGCAUGUGAGAUCGCUGCAGUGAGGACCUCGGCACCAUUGAAGAUGAGAGCUCCAUAGCUCUCAAAGCUUGAACCCAGUUGAACUAUGCCUUCUUCUCUAAAUUUCUGGGUUUAUGGAUGAUAUUUUAACCUAUGUGAUGGUGAAUUAUAUGUUUAAAUUGAAGGUUUACUCUCUAUCAGCAUCUGUGCUUCGAACUCAUCCCCGACGAUGAACUCCGGCUAAAUGCCGUCGAGUUCAAAGUUGGUGGGUGUUCCCAACACAUCAAAUCUCUCCCUCUAUGUCUCUGUGAUAGAUUGGGUAAAUUGUUGAACUCAAUCUCAAGCUCUAACCCCUGCAUGCAUGUUUAUACUCUUUUCCCCAGUUUCCGGCGAAGGACCGCGGAAUUGCAGGCCAUUUUCGGCUAGUUUUGGACACAAAUCAUGUACCACUUAGGUAUAGUUUUGUUCCUUACCUCUUGAUCUUCAUUUUGGCUUUUGAAUCUUUGAAUUUGGUUGAGAAAUGAACCCGUUAUGACCAUUUGAAGUUUCCCGGCCAAAUCGUCAUCCGGCUGCCGCAGCGGAAACCGGCCGGAGAAGAAGAAAAAAAGAAAGAAGGGAAGCCCAGAUCCGCGACCCGGAUCCGUAUCCGAACCCGAAAUCCGGCCCGGCCAGGUUCUAAAAUGCAUAUGGAAUAUUCCCUGGAUUAUUCUUUAGAAUAUUCUGUGUAGAUUUUUUACAAAAUUUGCUCGGAUCCCUCUUAUUAGCGUAUUUAGAUAUUCUGAUUCUAAAUCCGAGCACUCCGUUUCCUCAAAUUUGACCGUUUACGUUGAUUAGAGACUUCGACUUUCUUUAGCUUGAAAGGAUGUGACAUCGCAAGGAUAUGUGAAUGGGUCUUUCGUUUAUAUAUAUAUAUAUAUAUAUGUAUGUGUCAAUUGCUUUCAUUACUAUGAUGUGACAUGUUAUGCUUGGUUUACGAAUAGAUUUUUCGUACUUUAUGUUUUGAAUAUUAUUUGUGAGCAUAAACUUGUGACAUGACAUUUCUGCAUUUUAUUUGCUCAGUUUUACAUGUAUGCACGGUGUUUCUUAACUAUUUGUACUGUCUUGGGACAAGGACUAGCUUCACGGGGAAUUCACAUGUAUCGUUUACUUUCACUUUGGAUCCAUAGUUUGGGGUCAGACUGUCAUUUUGUGUGAUGUUUUGGACUCGUAUGUAAUGUAAUUAGCGCAACUCACAUGAUGUAGAAUUAGAAUGUAAAACCUAUCCCUAGGCUGUUCCAUUGUUUGAAUAUCUCUCUAGUGGACUUGUGUGCCUGCAUAAAUUAAUGAGCAUUGAUUUCUUAUAAUAAUAGUUUGAGAUUUAAUGUUCAGAUACCUUGUUGUAUCCUACAUCUUUGACUCACUUCUGUUGCAGGAUAUUUAUUACAUAUUAUUAUUAUAAUAUUUUUUAGAAACUAUAUACUUGUUUUUACACUUUUCGAAAAUUUUUUACAAAACUUUAUUUUUAUGCCUACCCACUCUUGUUUCCACCCCCCCUCCAGGAUUUUUAGUGGUGGAGGUUUCGUGACGACAAUAAUUGUUGAUAAAAGUUGUUUGGUAUGAGACUUCUCCGUUCGAUAUAAAUGUUCUUACUCUUCUUUUAUUGCAAAUUAUUUAUGCUCUAACAUCAUUUGUGUGAUAUGGGUUCAAUUCCUCUCACAUGCGCAUUUUAAAUUAGUCGCUUUUAAGUUUUAACUUAUUCAGAUUUUCUACAUUAUUACACUUUUAAGAUUUUUUUAUCUUUCAGGUGUUUAGGUGGAUAUUCUGGGUCCGGUGUGUCAACCAAGGCCUGCUUAUUUGAUCCCUUUGUCCUGUCAAAAUGUAAAAACUGUUUAAUCAUGGCCCGUUGGUUCUUUUAUUUUAUUCAAUCCAAUUAUUAAAAAUAAAAAUAAAAUAUGAGAAGUUCAAAGGGAUGCGUUAGAAUCAUUUUCCAAAAUUUGAAUUAGUUAAUUCUUAAUGCUCAAUUAGGAAAAACCCUGGUGUUACAUAAUUGUUUGAUUUUGAUGAUUCAUUUUUAAGUUAAGUGUGCAUAAAUAAAUAAAUAAAACAAAGAACGUAGUUUGAGAAGGGGUGAAAAAAAAAAGUCCAUGGGAUACAAAUCAUUAAGUACAACUUUUUUUCCAUUCACUAUAAAGUUACAUUUACUCCAAACUAUACAAGGUAAUUAAAAUUAAUUAACUGAUAGAUAUCACUCCAUCGAACAUUAGGCAAAACAAGCACACAAACACCCACAAUAAAAUUAUAAAACAGACCUGUUCACUGGCACAAUCAUCUCCCACCAUUAACUGGUAAUGCGACGUGGUUCCUCAUUGUAUCAUACCCUAAACCUGAAUCGCCACCUCCUUCAUAACUAAUAGUUUCCAUUGAUAUUCCACCAAGCAAGUGCUGAGUCUCUUCUGAAAUGAAUUCAUCAUUCACCCAUGGAUGCAAUACCAUCCUUCUCAGUCCCUCUAGUUCCAUAGCAACUUCCUGCAUCGUUGGUCUUUCUUCCCCUUUUACUCUCAAACACCUCAUUGCAAGUUUAGAAACUUCUUUAAGCUGCUCAAUGUUUGCCUCAGUCACAAUCCAAUCAUCUAGAACUUGCAGCAAUCGGUCAUCUUUCAAUGCUGACAGAAAAUACAUAGCCAAAUUUAUCUUUUCCUGCGGCUUGUCAAAGAAAACCGCCUUCUUUCUUGUCAAUAGCUCUACGAGGACAACCCCGAAACUAUAGACAUCGCUUUUCUCAGUCAAUUGGCUUGUCUGCAUGUAUUCGGGGUCUAAAUACCCCAUAGUUCCUUGCACCAUUGUGGACAACUGAUCUUGGCCUAACGGAACCAAUCUCGAGGCUCCAAAGUCAGACACUUUGGCUGUGAGGUUUUCAUCUAAGAGUAUGUUUGUAGACUUGACAUCUCUGUGAAUGAUAGGAACAGAAGCCGCAGAGUGCAAGUAUGACAGCACUCCAGCUGUUUCUGAAGCUAUCUUUAGAUGGAUUUCCCACGAGGUGUUUGGUUUGGAUUCCUUGGUUGUAUUAUGGAUGUAGUCAGAGAGUGUUCCAUUUGUUACAUACUCAUAGACUAGCAGUGGAACUUGUGUCUCGAAACAACAACCUAAAAGCUUAACCACAUUCCUAUGGUUGAUCUGUGAAAGCACCAGUACCUCAUUUAUGAAUUGCUCUAUUUGGCUUUGAUCCAUCAUUUUGGACUUCUUGAUAGCAACCACUCGGCCGUCUACUAAAAUUCCUUUGUACACUGUACCGGAACCUCCUCUGCCAAUGAUUUUAGACUCAUUGUAAUUAUUUGUGGCCUUCUCAAGUUCUUCUGCUGUGAAGAUUUUGGCUGUUUCGCGAGUGGAUCCCUGUCGUUCUGAAAGUUGUUGUUGUAGCAUUAGUCCUCCAUUUUGCCUGAAGAACUUCUCCUUCAGCCUUAUGAGCUUCCAUCUUUUGUAGCCCAAAUACAACCAAGAGCUUCCCAUUAGCAAGGCUAUGAGGCCAACCCCGAUUCCUACAUUGCCAACAAAUUAAGUAUGAAUUAUAACAUCUAUGUGCAAGGCUUCCAUUGUUUAUUAAGAAAAUUAAACGCAUCAUCAUUAACUUAUUAAUAUUUUCAACAUAAUGUGUUGCUACGUUUUGUUGACUGCAACAAAUAUAUAUCUUCGUACUUACCAAUGAUAAUCUGAAUAUGUAAUGUUGGUUUAUGGGUGCAACCUUCUCCGUCUACUCUACCAUCGCCAUAGUACCCCUUGCGGCAAGAACAAGCAUAGCUUCCAUCUGUAUUAGUACAUAUCUGUUCGCAGUUAUUGAGUUUUGCAUCCUCACAUUCAUUAAUGUCUGCAAAAAUAACAUGACCCAUAAUUUUCAGAAAGCAAGUUGUAUUAAUUAGUAGUAGUCCUACAGUUUUGAAAGCAAAUUAAUGACAAUACAAAGACGAAAGAUAUACAAAAAACAAGCUUAAGCUAGGAAAAUUACCAUGGCAUCCCUCAAGGUAUGGAUUCCCUCGGUAACCGUUUUGGCACUCGCAGCGAUAACCCCCACCAUUCUUGACAUCGAUACAUGUUUCGUUCCCAUGACAUGCGUAAUUCAUCACUUGUUUGUUUCCAACAACCUUGCUGCAUGUCUCAUUCCCAAUUGACCAAUCUAGAACCACCGGAAGCUCUUCCACGUCGUUCAAAUCGGUCAGCAGAUUCGAAGAGAAGUUGAACUUGCUCUGUUCGACAACAAAGGCAUAGCUGCAGGGAUUGAAGUCCCACACACCCUUGUGAUUAUUAUAACUAUUCACGCUUAUUUGAUAAUAAUCCGUAUUUUUAGCGAUCGAUGUUUGGCAACAGCCUACACCGGAGCACGAAUCAUUGGCAACAAAAUUAAUGCUGUCACAUUUUGUAAUGCACCCACCUGUGUACCCAUAAUCUUCUCCUUGGAAAACCACAAUUUCAGCGGUGGUGUCGCAACCAACCACCACAAACACGUUAUCGGUGUCAGAUAUGAAGAAGUUGGGCAGUUGGAUAUAAGGAGUGUUGCUUUCCGUGGACACACCUGAUUCGUUGUAACAAUCUUUGGCUAUAUAUUGUAGAAUAUGCAGCUUCCCGUCGACAGAUAUGUUUGUGACGUCAAUGUUACUAUCUCCAAGAAAUGGCUUUGGAGGGUUGUAGUGUGUGUCAUUGCAAGUAAUAAGGAAAUCCUCGUUGUAGUAACAAUCUGGGGUUGUACCAAAUGGAUAUGGGAUGCUAACAUUCCCACAUUUGGCUUGGCAACCCGGCUUGACUCCAACUUGAUCAAGGGGCGGAGACGACGGAGGAGGAGGGAUGAAUUGUGUGGCUUGGGAUGAAGUGGCUGCUGCUAGUAGCAGUAGCUCUAUUAAGGUGAGUUGCAUGAGCAUUAAUGUUUGUGUGUUCGGAACCACACUGGUGCCCGCUGAACUCUUUGAAGAUUUUCUGCUGUUUUGCAGGUUCAUCAGACUCGUGCUAUUUAUGAAAUUUUUUGAGGUGUUGGUUUGUUUCUGAAAUGAGAUAUCCAUUUGGUCCUUUUGUUGAUAGAUCAUAGCCAGAUAGGAAGAAGACCGACUAUUUCCCGGAGACUGGACUUUGUGAAUUUCGUUAAGCCAUCCAUCCUAAUCAGUGAUCACAAAAGACAAUUAUUAUAUGAUCAUACAAUUGGGUCUAGUGGUCCUCCUUUUUUUUUUCUUCUUAUUUGUUCUUUUUAGAGAAAUGUUAACUAACUUUUUCAAAACUGAAAUUUUUUAUAGACUCUCUACCAUCUUUUUUUGUGUGCACAAUAUUUUAUAAUAUUGACACAGAAAUUAGCAAAAAGUCCAUAAAAAGUUUCACUUUUGAGAGAAUACCCUUAGCGUUUCUCUUUCUUUUUAACGUGUGACGGAAAGAUACGACUAGUCACAUGUAUAACUCAACGACAACCAGUUCCAUUCCAGUUCGCACUAACUUUCCACGAAGAAUCUUUGCCACAAAUGUGAAUCGGAUCAGUAAAGGAGAAAAUGCCACCAACGAUAUGAAGAAGAUGGAAAAGAAAAAAAAAGAAUGUUCGGUGAUGAGUCUGCUGUCAUGAUGACUAUUAUAUUAUGGUGUGAAUCUUCCAAAUGUUUUUUUUUUUUUAAGAAAAACAAAUGAAAAUGACUUGAAAACUUUGAGUUUUAACAAAAAUGAUAAAAAGAUGUUGUAAGUGAAUAGUACCAAGAUUGACUUUUUAGAGUAAAAAUAUGAUUUUUCGUUAAAGUGAACAAUAUCAUAAGCUAUUCGUUAAAGUUUCUUUUUUUUAGUGAAUCAUCUCGUGCCUCAUUGUUGUUAAGAAAAUAUUUCAAGCGAUUAUAUUUUCCAAUUAUAUCAAUUGAUUGUACGCAUUUGAUGUGUUUUUUCUUUUUUUUAAGAAUGAAUCUUUCAUUAAUAAAUUUUUUUUUUUUGCAUUGGCUUAAAUGUUGGGUUAUUAUUUUCAUUUUGCCAAUUGAUUUAAUAGUAAAACCUCAACUUUCUUCAUGGUAUCAUAGUAGGUUGUCUCGCGUGUGAAGCCUAACGGCCACACAUGCUCCACGACUGCUUUGUGUUGUUCACGUGCUAUGCUUAAAAAAUUAAUUUAAACUACUUUCUAUAUUACUAAUUAGUUUUAUAGUAAAUCUUCAACUUCCUUCAUUUUUAUUAUAUUAAUUGAUUAUAAUGGACACAUUAUUAGCACGGCAAGAUAUAUGAUCUUUAGAAUUACUCUUGUCGUUGUCUUUGAUUUUUCAUGGAAACUCAUCGUCCAUAUCAAAGACACGUGGAUAGAAUUUUCUCGGUGUACAUGUUCCGUGGAAAGUUGGUUUUAAAGAAUCGUUGGACUUAACUUCGUACAUUUUGUCUUUGAACAAAAUAACAAACUUCAUACUUUGUCCAUACAGUGACUUUGCAGUCAGCCACCGGAGCUGUUGCUAUCUUACAAAUCUUACCAGUUCAAACCCCUUUGGAUAUCCUUGGAUGGAUUUUGAAAUGUAGUUUUCCACCUUUUGUUUUUUUGGCUUUUUAGCUAAAAGGAUUCUCAAGACUGAUAUAACUUCUCAUUUUGAUCUCUGACAAAGAAAAUUGAUAGCAUUUCCCUGAGUUUGUUUAUCGUAAAUCAUCUUGAUAUUUCCGUGAAAAAUUUAUCAAAUAUCCUCGUUAAAUUGUCACAUGAACUACUACGUGACCACCAUUUUAAGGAUAUUUUUGUUAAAACAACUCCUCCACUUAACAAAAACAUUGUAGACUUUCCUUGUUUUUUCCUAACAUUUUGGUGUUUCUCAACAUGUUUUGUAGAUUUAGACCUACCAAGUUUUGGUUUAGAGGGGCUAGGAAUUAGGUUUUAUGUCCUCAAUCUCUAUUUCUCUUUUGUUUUCUUUCUUCUUUAUUAUGUGGGGUAAAAUUUAUGUCCCUGAUUAGAAACUUGUUUUUUUUUAAUAUUAUUUCCUUAGCUCGUAAUUAAGUACGAAAAGUAAAAACAAUAAAAAUAUAAUUUUUACCAAUAAGCUCGCAAAAGCUAUGUUAUAACUCUUGAGUUUUGAAGAAUCUUGUUAGCAUUCGUUCGUUGAGAAAUUUAUGACCGUAAACUUGUUUCAGAGAACGUCGAAGGAAGCUGGGAUCCUCCUCUGCAGACUGCCGUGGAUUGAACACAAAUUCUCUCUUGGUCAUGAUACUAACAAGUGACCAAGAAAUGUAUGGUUACUUACUCUUGGAUUUGUUAUUAAUGGUGGAUAAUAUAUGGACGUGCUUUACUAUUUUAAUUUCAACUCUUAAUAUCAAAAUCAAGAAUGCAUAUGACCAUGAAUCAUUGGUCACCAAAUAACUAAAAGAACAAGAGUCUACCAUUGAACAAACCGCGGUAACUAGCACUGCAGAUAUAAUUUUGUGUGUUUUUCAUUUGGUACGUAUUAUUUUUACACAUACCUUACGCCCCUAUAUACAUAUGUCAAAGCACUUUAGCCAAAUUAAAAUCAUAUGUUAGGAAUAACUAUUCAAGGAUUUAUAAUUCUUGACCAAAUAUUCUACAAACAUUCUCAACUCUGAAAUCUAAAACUAAUUUCAUUCAGCAUAUAAGACCACAUUUGUGUUUCUUUACACAGAUAUACAUAAAACAAGAUAUCUUGUAUGUGCACCUAUAUGAAUUAACACCAGCACGCAACCCCCCGCUGCUCCCCGCUCCCUGCGCCCGCCAACCUUCAUAUCGUAACUUGAGGUUUUUUAACUAGUUCCAGUCUGCCACGGUCCUAUGGAAGCUGGGAUAGCUUGGACAUCCUGCCGUGCAGCAAUUGUUUGUAGGAAAAAAGACUUAAGGUUAUAUAACUCCAAAUGGUUUCAAUCCCUGCCGCAACCACCUAAUUUAGCAUCCUCAUCCUGCAACCACAAAUGAAUGGAAAGCUAUGUUAUAACUAUGGAGUUUUUCGGAAACUUGUUAGCAUUCUUUGAGAAAUUUCUGACCGUACUUUCAGAGAAUGUCAAAGGAUGCUCCUCCUCUGCCGUCUCUCUUUGAUCAGACCAGCCUGUGAAACCAGUCUCAGUUUUUGAGUUUCGCCUACUAGAUUCCUCAAGUGAGCUCUCAUUGUGUAUUUCUUGGUACAAGUGUUUCAAUAUGAAAAGGGCAGUAUCAUAAUCCCUCCAAUAGUUUCUGCACAACAAGACUCAGUUAAGCUUUUAAAUGAAAACGAGGAACAUUCUGGUAGCAGAUAAAGGCAAGAAGAGCUGAAUUAAUAUGGUCGUUAAACAAUUGCAAGAAAAAUCUCAGCAACUAAAUAAACAAAUAUGGCUUAGGCAUACACGACAAUUUGCGUCAACAGUUUACAGUAGUAAUAGUUCACUUGAUAACAAAUGAUGGAUAACAAUUCUAAUUGCAUGUAUGAGGAAACAUUUGAAGUGAGUACGUACGUAUGUGCCCCAAUUGCAGAAAGAUACGGAUGUUCAAAUGUCUUAUCCUGCAUGAUCAACAAAAAAUCUCACUGAGGAAUCAAAGAAAUGAGCUGGUACUAAUGGCAUAAGGUCAGUAAUUGUUAUGUGUCUAACUGAGUAAAAGUAACAAGGCUAUAAGGCAAGCAGUUGCAGGCAUAUUUUUGAAAGGAAAAUAAAUGAGACUCAGGUAUGCACAGGUACGAGUGUGCACAAGUGUGAAUUCUUGUGUGUCUGUGUAUGUCUGUGGAGUGAAUGAGGUAGUGGGCAUAUGUACGCACUUGAAGCACAUGAUCAAUCCGCCCUUCUUCACUUCCUGUUACUCUUUCCAUCAUACCAGAGCCAUAUGAUCUCUCUUCCAUUUCUGGGGCUGUUUCUGCUGCUUCUACCAUGUAACAAAAUUAACAAAUAUAAGAAAUAUGUAGGAGCUUUAUGAAAGAUGUGACGGAAAAGAAACUGUAUUGAAUUAUGUUUUCAUAUUUAGGGCCUAGGGUCGUUUAUACUUCCAAACCCCAGACUGUUCUUUCUUUUUUCUAUAUGAAAACAAGAUCACUACAGAGGACCACUUUUGUUAAAAAUUUGUUCUCUGAUAUCCGUAUCAUUAAGAAGAGGAGGAUACAGAGUGAAGGAUCAAAAGACAAAAUAUACUACCUUCUAGGCUGUCUGCAUUUCUUGACUGGCAAACUGUCAGCACUUUAAUCUGUGUUCAAACGUAUAACAAAACCUUGAUAUUAGAAUAACUUCUAACAUAAUAUAGGAACCAAAGCAUGGAGGGUUUCAAUUCAAACCACUCAUCCUUGCAGAGUCUCAUAUUACGAUUUUUUUUUUUUUUUUGUCGCAACUUGAACUUAUAAAUAAGAGGUCGCACUUGGUGCGAUGGCAAGUGCCUUCGCCCAUAACGGUAGGUCUCGGGUUCGAGACUUGGGAGCAGCCUCUCCAUAAAAUGGGGUAAGGCUAGCCGACAUUCACCUCUUCCAGACCCUGCGUAAAGCGGGAGCCUUGUGCACUGGGUACGACCUUUUAACUUGAACUUAUAAAUAACCUAUAAGUUGACACUCAACCUUGAAACUUAAAAAACUAAUUUGGACAGAGAAAGGGGAUUCACAUAUUCAAAGUUCAAAACCCUAGUUUACUUAAAAGAGUAUCUUAACGUACAUACAAUUAGUAUAGAUGCAGCUGAUGUACGCCUAUAACAGAUUAGAAAGUUAUAUCAACUUCUAGGAGUCUAACCACGCCCACCUUUACGAAGUUUAGACGAUCCAUCAUUGCUUGAGAACGAGCAGCUAAAUCUUCAGUAAAUUCCUGCAUCACAGCAGUGCACGAGUGUGAGAGAGAGAGAGAGAGAGAACGCGUGCGUGUAUGGGUGGGGGAGGGCGGAAGAGAGAGAGCUAAGGUAGGCGAUCCACAAUCAUGUAUGUUAAAAAUGCUUUACCUGAAAUCCAAUAUGCAACCUCUUUCCACCUUUGUGAUAGGGUAUGAUAACAGGUCGCUUGCUGAGGUAUUCUUUACACACAAGUGGUUCUAUCCUGCAUUUCAAUAUGAAAAAAGUUCUAUCAUGUGCUGUGCUCCUAGAUCAACAAACAAGACAACACGAAAAGAUAAAGCAAUACGAGCGAUAAACAUAAAGUUGUUAUAUGUAUAUAUAAGAAUUUCCAGAUUAUAUCAUUAAAUAUUUUGCACUUUCAGCAAACUAAGUGGAAUCUAUUCAACAAAAGGUAUCAUGUCAUGCACCGUAUGCACCACAUCCCUCAGAGAAAUGAUGCGGUAAUUCUUCAACUCAAAUUGGAUUUCAUAUUAAAUACUAGCAUCACGAGAGCUGGAUUGCAACAGACCUAUAUGCAACGGGAUCAAAGGGAUGAAAUAUAUUGAACAUCUGCCGACAGGCUGGCAUCUCCUCACUUAUAUUUUCCUCUUCCCAAUAUUCUGUCCCCUUUCCUGAAAAUGAAAUGAUACCAUAUAUUAAAUUCAGAUUUAGGUCUCACAUCAAAAGCAAAAACAAGCAUAUCUAAAAAUAAAUCUCCUGGCAGAUCUUAAAUUUAUUGAAGAGGGAAAGAUAUACAAAGUGAGUAGACAAAUGCACAAAGCAACAAAACACCUUAAACACAGAUCCCCACCAGCAUACCGAUAUGCAGUAGAAAAAUGACAUGUAUUAUUUCAAUUACAGAAAAAACCCACUCAGCAGAAUCAGCGCAGAUGUCACCAAACACCAAUAGACAUGGUAACAAAAUUAAAUUGUUAAGAGCCCAAUAUAACUGGACACAGCAUGCAUGUGCCUCGAAAUUGUAUAAGCAUACAAGAGCAUCAAAAGAUCCUUCAUAGAGAAAAUUUAGGAAUUUGGGUGAUCCAACUGCAAAGAAUGAAAAGCAUCAACAUGCAAAGCAUAUUAACACAUAAUCAUCGAUCAUUACCAAUCCCAAUACGAAUAUUACGAAGGGCAAGAAAAACCCCAAGGGGUGAUCCAACUGCAAAGAAUGUAUCAACCUGAAAUAUGAAGAUUUACAAUUAAUGAGUGGCGAAAUCCAAAACAAACUAUUUCUCCUGUUUGCAUUCAUAGAAAUAUGAAAGAAUCCAAGCCGUAUUUUUUUAGAUACAAAAAUUCAAAAUUUUAAUUUGGCAAAUGCUACUGUCAAAAUGGAAGAAGGAUAUACAACAAAUGGACAACUUUCUUGCACCUUGAAUUCAAGUUUUGUGUAUGUGAUAUAAGGGGUAUAAUUCUUGGGUGAACCAUCUUGUGCAACAGGCAAUUCCACAGAAAUGGGUUGCUUUGCCACAGUUGCAGGAACCUCUUCAUUUUCUGUUCAGAUUUUAUAUAUGGACGCAUAAGAGCUCCUUUUAUACACUGAAAACAAAAAAUUAAAUGAAAAAAAACAAUAAAAUCCACAUAUCAUAGAGCACCUUGAUGCAAUCCUGGACUAUGAUCUCUAUCACCACAUUUGGCUUCCAAUUCUGAUAUUUUGGACUUGAGUGAAUCAAUCUGAAAAUAGAGAAUUCAUUGAAUAUAUGCAUUUUAUAUAAAUGGUGCCCACAAAAGGCUAGGCAGAACAGCCUAUCCAAUUAUAUAUUCUCACCUCUUCCCUCAGCAAUUUGACUACUUGGUCUUUAUUGCUCGUUUCUUCGCAUACUUUUUCUACCACAUCAUCAGCACCAUCAACCCGGACUCCACAGUUUAUGGUUCUGGUUUCAUCCAACCCAUCGCAUUUAAGCAUGUCAUUUGAUUUGCAAACUGAUUCAUUAACAUAUUUAUCACCAUGUGGUUGUUUCGAGUCCAUAGACCUUGCAACAAAUUCAUUAGAAUCUGAUGUGUUGCGACCAACAACAUUCAAGGCAUCUUCAGCAUUUCCAUCCUCAUGUAUCAAAAGAGUUGGUUGCGCACUCAUAUUGCCGUCAUGAAUUGAACCCAUUGUGUCAUCAGUUUGAUUGUUUACAAAGGCAAUUGCAUCUCCCAAAUUAGUUGGAGUGUUGUACGUAGAUUGAUUAUCAGGAGAAGAUUUUCCAUCUCUAGCAUGUUCUUUGAACGCCCAAUCCAUUGGAAAUGGGGAGGACAAAUUCUCCUGAUGACAAAGGAUAUCAUAGGAGAGGACACUUCCCAAAGAAUGACCAUAUAUGGAAACCUAUACGGAUGUGAGAUGAAAGCACUCAGUUUAAAUAUAAACUUAUAUGGACAAAGUGUGACUAAAGAAAAUAGUAAAAUGCUUUUUAACCGCAUACCUUUCCAUCAUAACCUGGAUUCCUCCGAAGAAAUUUCAAAUAUAACAGAUUUAAUUGGUUGGAUACCUGUUGGGAAAAAUUGUGUGCAAUUAAGAUGCCAUUCACAUCCAAGAAUGCAAAAGAAUUGGAAAAGUGAAAUCAUCCCAACAGUAUCAUAAAAGUAGACACAGAAAUUUAAAGAAUAAGUAUGCACUACCGAGUUGAUGAUGUCCUGACAAUAUAUGGGACUCAUGUAGUAUAACACAUCAUGAACAGUUGCACUCAGCAUGACACGUAAACCCUUAACACCAUCUAAAGUGCAUUUUUCGACUGCAGUUUCACCACUAAGCUUCAAACCUUUUCUCCACUGAAAUCAAAAUAUCAAUCAGUUUGUAAAAGCAAUGAAACAAAAAAAAAAAAAAAAGGAAAGAAAAAUGAGUAAUGAAAACGUGAAGAUGAGGAAGAAACAAAACCAAAUUAUUUGUUUGAAAAGGAAACAUAUAAAUCCAAAAUGACAUUAAACAGAGGCACACAAAAUAUCAGAACAGAAUGCAGCACACACUGCAGUCUGCAACAAAUCAGCCACCUUAGCUAAUUUUUCUUCAUGUAAAGAAGUAUUGUCAUAUCAUGGUAUCUCCCAGUGAUCGCCAAAUUCAAAUUCAUGUUUCUAAAAUCUCCAUAAUAUUUCAAAUUAUACAUUCCAGGGAAGUGAGGAGCCUAACAAGCUUUAAUGUAAGAAGAUUUUUAUUUCUAUUCUUUUGACAAGAAACAGAUUUUUUAUUAACGGGAAGACUUACAAAAAGUUGAUAAGGAAUCCACCAACAAAGAUUAAAUCUAAAGGACUAGACCAGACCUCUUAAAUAGAAGUAAUUUAAAUAGACCAGACUGUUAAAGUAAGGAGAUGAUUAGCAAGUCAUAUUUAAGGAAAAGAAUGAUGACCACGAAAUAUUUUUACUCUAGGAAACGAAUGUUCAACCAUAUUUAAGGAGAAGAAUGGUGAUCAUCAUUAUGAUAGACAACCACGUCCAACACUGUGGGUACUCUCUUACCUCCCUGUAUAUAAUACUCAAACGACACAAGCUAGUUUCACCAGCAUCACAGGAGUGGUGAUCCAUUUUAUUUCAUAAAGUAUGAAACAGAAGAGUUUUGCGAUAAUUAAAAAAAAAAGUAGAAAGAAAAUGGGAUGAAUAGCAUACAAAAGAGAUUGCUUACCUGGCAUGGGAUAAAAAGAACCCUUUGAGAAUCACGUUGGUGUGAAGUAAGGUGUGUUUCGGCAAGACUUGCUGUUAUAAGGUGAAAAUUAGCAACAUCAUCAACUAAAUUUGAUUUCUCCAAUCUUUGACCAAUUCCAUGAACCAUGAACACAAGGUGUCGAACAGGAACCUAAAUCAAAUAUGCAACGUCAAUCUUAUCACUUUCAAAAAAAUAAAAAACUUAAAUGAAAGGAAAUCUUAAUGCUGCAAACAGACGGUUUUUGGAAAACAAAAAUUAUGGACUCUGGAGAAUCUCAAACAUAAGUUUUGGACGAAUUAGAUUUUGGGUUUCUUUCAGUUACGCCAGUUAUAUAUCAGAGCAACCACCCUUCACUUUCCUAGCAAAAUUAUUAUCAUACAUUUGUCACCUUGAAACCGAGUAUCGAAACCAAAAAGGUAUAGAUUAACCUUCAAAAAAUCUAAUAGGCAAAAGGCAGGAUUUAUCCUAAAAGCAUGGGCCACAAGAUCUUCUUGUUCGUGAACAGCCUUAAAGAUUGACAUUAUAAAGAACUUGUUACCAACUAGUCACUAAGAGCUGGAAGAAGACAUUGGGCAUGGAAGAACACGUUGGUACAAGUUGUAUGAAGGAAGGAAUAUAUGAAAAUAAUAAGUACAAAACUAAAAACAACAUUUUUAUUUGAUAUGUUAAAAUGCAUACCUGCGAGCAAUAAUCAUCCAUUUCCUCCUCCUUCUGCUGGCGCAAUUCAUUCUAUAAUAGAAAAUGAUUGUGAGAAAGAUGAUAAUUUAUUCUUUUUUGUUUAAUUUUAAUGCUCAAACAAGACUUUCUUAUGCUGAAAAUAAUUGAAAUUCUCAUGUUAGAAAUCAUAACAGAACCGGACAAAUAAGACAACUCUGGGGGUGAAGCGGACAUACAAUUAAGAAACCAAUGACAAUUGUUUAAGUGCUAACACUAGAGAUUUGAAUGUAACCGCCCAACCAAACCAAACCCAUCGAGACAUGCAAUGCCACAUGAAACCUACUAUCAUUGUAGCAACUAAUUGUUCCUGUUGUUUUUGUUGUCCUUUCCCUUUCCUCUAGUUAUCAUUAUUACACCUAAAAGACUAUGAUAAAAAUUAAAAUCUAGGAGCAAAAUACCACGCGUACCUUGCUUAAAUGGUUUCAGUAAAGCUGAGAAGCAAGUUUCUUUUUCUGUUUAAAAGUUAAAAAUUAUCUGAAAUUUACAAAUACACCAGCUAGUGACUAGAUGCAGACUUCCACCAAACUUCAGAUCAUCCUUUUCCAUCUUCAAACAUCCAUUAGAAUCCAAAGCAUAGACACCAUCAGAUUAAGAUGAUAUGACGGAAAAGUUCACAUAGCAACAAGUAUAAUUUCACGAGUACCAAAAAGAAACAACAAAUCCGGCAUCAAUGACAAACUUGCUCAAAUAAAUUCCAAAAAUUUGACUCACCACAACCGAAAAAGGUAAAAUGUUGAAAAAAAAAGGUAUUGAAGGCAGUGUCAGAACUUAUCCCAUCAAAGAAUUUAUCAAAUAGAUACCUGUGUGGGUUUCGGAGAGUGCGAUGUGGAAUAUCCACGCCUUAAUUUCAUGCCAUUUCCACCUAACGUAAUGACACUAGAAAAACCAGAAGCAUCUAUAUUUAGCCAAGCCUCCCAAGUGUUAUCUUCUCCUGUGAAAAGCGCAUGCAGUCCCUAAAAGUACAUCCCCAGGAUGUGUUUAAGAAUACAAUAAUAAAAUUAUAAAAUGUCUUUUCCAAAUAGCAAUACACAUACAGGUGUAGAGCCUUGCAAUUCAACUCGAGCUGCAAAAAGUCCAGAGGGCUGAAACGUUCUCCGGUGCCAAACCUGGAGAGAAAAAGUCCAACUUCACCAACAUGUGCUUAUACCGUGUAUACCAAAAGAGAUUUAGAACAUGAGUCCAAACAGAAGAGCACAUGUACAAGAGGCAGACUGAAGCAGUCUUAAAAAUCAUUCCAUAAAUCUACAUUUUGGUAUGUUUUGAACAUAAAAACAAUCCUCUGAAUCAACAUAAAGUAAGGGGAGUUAUCAAACUUUCUGACACAGAAUCUGGAUAAAGGUUACCAAAUAGACAAUGAUCAGGAUAUGCACACUCCAACUAAUCAGAUACAUGAUUGUUUAAAGUCACCCAUAUUAAUACUGAAGCUAACCUGAUUACGAUAUGCAACCUCUAAUUGUUCAGAAACAUCUUCACGAAGUGGGAGCCAAUCGGCCCCUUUACAAGCAAACCAGUGACCUCUUAACACACGCAGGUUUUCUCCAUCCCAAUAGACAGGGAAAGAAUGCCGCUUCACUAAAUCUACCUGCAGCAAUUACAUGACUAUGUCAACUCAAAUCAAUCAUGCCUUUAUCCAGAAAAUAGUUGGAGUCGGGUCAUUUCACUUGAUACACUUCAGACUAGUAACCAACGAAGUAUCUUACGAUGCUAACAUCAUGAGAUUUUUACUGAAAAUCAUACAAAAUUUUCCCUGCAUCAACUCAAAUGGAUUCAUCAACAACGACUACUUAAGAGAACAUCAAGAAAGACUUGCCAACGCAUGCAAAGGAGUUGAUUGGUACUGGAUAGCUACAUUUUCAGGCCCACAUGUAUUUCUCUACUCUUUACACUGACAAUGAAAACCUUGAAAAAAGAAGGCUUACCUCAUAAAGCCCUCCCUUAACAGGGACACCAACUCUUUCUUCAUCCACUUGAUCUAACUCAACCGACCGACCCCUCUCUAAAGAAAAUGAACUCUGCCGCGGAGCCACCUUCUUACUUGAACUAGGCCGCUCUUUCGGGCCUUCGCUACAUUCUGCGUACUCCUUCCACCACCAAGAAAGCAACUCUUCCUCCCUCUGCAUGCAUGCAAAUCCAACCCUCAAGUAAUUAGACCAAUUCAAACACAAAUAACGCAACUUUAUCACUUAACAAACCAAACCCACCUGCAAAAACGAUGCCUCAAUUGCUAGAGAGUCCCUCAUACCGAACCGAAAAUACUCCCCUUUCCCCACCAUCUCACUCUUUGGGACUGAAGCAGCCAUCUCUGCACAAUCACAGAAGCAGAAAAUUGCCAAUUGUGAAUUGAGAAGUAAAAACGCACACUAGAACUCAAAACUCCAAUGCUCUUGAGAUUCGAAUUACCAUUCUCCGCCAAUGGGACUUUGCAAAAGUACCACCGGACAUCGCCGCCGUCGGACGGGCUUCUAGUCUGAGCCAAAUACUUCUUGUGUCCCUUACAAUGUCCAAUCUCAUCCUCCAAUCUCGCGAUAUUACUCGGCGUGUUCUUCAGCAAAUCCGGAAACGUUUCUUCCGCCACACGCUUCGCCUCCGAAUCCGCCAUGCCCAACAACAAAGCUCUCCCCUCUUUUCAAAUCCCCAACUCAAAGACUCCCCUUUUUCAAUUCAUCCCAAAACCCUAAUCGCCGGCGCCGGAAACGCGAUCAGAAACAGCGGAAGUGGGCCGGGAUUUUGGAGUGGAAUUGGGAAUUAGAGAGUUUGUGGGAGCCGGAGGAGCGCGAGGAAGUGGAAUGCAAAACCGAAAUGGUUGCUCCAAUUUCAAAGUGGGAACGUGGAAAAAUCAUGACCGAGAAGGUGCGGAGGGAAGGAGAGGGGGUUGUUGUUCGGAAGAAGAACGACCGUUCGGUCGGUGUUGAAUGGCAGGUGGAUUGCAACGACUGCACCACCGUUACAAAUGGCGGAUGCGUGCCUUUCUCUUUCUUUCCUGUAUUUUUUUUCAUAUUUUUUACUCGAUUUCUCCUUCGGCAAGAAAGCCCAGUGAUGGGCCCUUGGCAAGUAUCCAAUUGGACUUAUUGGCCCAGCAUUUUUUAUUUUUUCUUAUUUAUUUCUUCUCUCUCAUGUCUACUUGCUAAAGUUAAUUACGUCGCUUUAGUGAACGUUUCGUGAUCACAUGCUACAUACUUGUAUUCAUCGAAUUGAAUUGCAUUCACCAUCAAUUAUGCUAACUUUUAUAACUGUUGUCACUGUUAUUCUAAAUUCACAAUUUGUCACUUUUUUUUGGUAAAGACCAUGAAGUGUCGACACAUCCGAUAGAUGAGACUAAUCUUCGUUUGAUGUUCGGCUUGCCUCUUGCCACAAAGUGCUUUCAUUUGGUUUCGGCCCUUGCCAGAAAGGUGGCAAUUUGCCACUCGCACCACACCUUGUGGUUACACACUCUUAAAAGUUAAGGAGAAUGGACUUGGGACAUGAAAAAAUUGAGGCAUGAAACAACCACUAAACUUCAUACGAUACUUUUGUGAUUAUAUCUUCUUUCUCUUGAGCCAUAGUAACCAAGUAAAACUAGGAAUGAGAGUUUGAACUGGUUAAAUAGCGAUUUGAGUCAUAAUCGUUUGGUUCUUGAUUUUUUCACUUACAACUCUAACCAAUUUUAAUACAUUAAUACUCUAACUGGUAACAUGAGUCUCAUUACCUUCUUAUCGCCUCUCUUCCGAUGUUUCCUCCAAAUAUAACAAAAUUAAUUAAAUUGAACCGAAAUUCCUCUAUUUUCUAAAUUAUUGUAACAGUUUCGAAUCUCCCCCUUCCCCUUAAUAAUAAUAAAUUAAAAAAUAAAUAAAUUGAGCCGAAAACAAACCAAUACACUUUGUUAUGAUGCAAAAUACAUACUACCAUAUCAAUAAGGAAUAUAAUUUUAAUGACGAGCAAAGCGGACCGAACCAAACAGUAAAAUAAAGAGGGCCUAACAGCCCAUAGGUAAAGUAUUGAAAAGGGCCCAAAAGGCCCAAUACACCCUAACCCUAAAAAUUGUUUUGGGUGGUUGAAUAUUAAAAUAUCUUAGGGCCCCACUCUAUAUAAGGCCUUAAAACCCUUUCAUCACACUCAGAGACACAGUCGUAUCCGUUCCGAUCAAGUCCCUCCAUAGCUCCCACCCACUCAAAACUCUAACCCUCACAUUCAUCCCAAACCCUAGAUUCGCCAAAACCCAACCGGACUAAUCAAGUGCCUUAUGGCGGAGGAGGAGGUUGUGGUAGCCGCGGAGAGCCCUAUGCCGUCGGAUCACAAGCGCAAGCUCGAGGAUUUGGAGCCUAAAGCAGCACCGGAAAUAGUUGAGCUCGACUCCAACGGUCCCGAUGACGCGAAUGCAGAGCCUGAUUGCACCGAAGAAGUCGAUGUAUCGCCGUCCGAUAAAUCAGAAGCGAAGAGGCCUCGCCUUGAUGACAAGCCCGACGGAAUAGGUAAUUUUGCUGUUGAUUUUGAAUUCUAGGGUUUUUCUCAUCUCUUUUGGGUGUGAAUUUGUUGCGAGUUCUUCUAGUUUUUAGCUGACAUUCGUUGUUUAUUUAUUUAUUUAGUAAUUAGGUCUCUUUUUUUUGCUAUUUUUUAGAUUAUAAUCUUUUUUGGGUAAAAUAUAGUCAGAAUUUGUAAAAUGAGGUAAUUUAGGGCUUGUUUGGAUGUACUUUUAAAAUGGAUGAAUGCACUUUUAGAGAAAAUUUUAUGGAUUCCAAAUACUUUCUGCAAGAAGCACCAGUUAGAAAGUGCUUUUUUAGGAUUUACUUGUAUUUUUACUAAGGAUUAUUUCCAAAAACAUUUUCACCAAAAGCGCUUUCAGUCAUUUUAAAAAUACGUCCAAACAAGGUCGUAAUUGUUCUUGAGGAUUGGUUUGCACCAAAAAAAAAAAGGAUUUUUGUACCCUUUUUUUUAAUGUGGCAUCUUCCUUGAUGAUAACAGCUAGUGAGAAUGGCCACCAAGAGGAGAAGGUAGAUGAGCCCAAAAAGGAGAAUGAGGAUCAGCCAAGUGUAGAUAGCGGUGACUUGGAGGUCCCCCAACCUGCGUCUGUGGAAGUUACCGAAGCAGUGACCGACGAGCAAAAGUCUGAAGUUAAUGAACUACAGAAUGGCAUGAAUAGUGAGCCGAGUGACACCCAAAAUCAUGCUGAGAAUUCUGUGGCGGAAAAAGCUGAGGAACCCUCUCAAGGGGAGUCUCAACCACACUAUGCAGAGGAACCUCAGCAAGGUGAUGCUUACUCUGCGCAACAAGAACAGCCUUCUGUGAGUGAGACUGUGACGCACAAAAUGGAGGUUCCUAAUAAUAAGGUCUGCUGCUUAUAUUCAUAUUAUGUAACUGGGAGCUCUGAGCUCCAGUUGGUUCAAAUUCCACCUAUGACUUAUUUGGAAUUCAUUUGUAAAUAUUAGUCGGAAAGAAAAAAGUGGCCUAAAGUAUUGUAUAAAAAUGUGCAGGUUGGGGUUUUAAUUGGCAAGUCGGGGGAUACUAUACGGUACUUGCAAUACAAUUCUGGAGCAAAGAUUCAAAUCACAAGGGAUUCCGAUGCAGAUCCAUAUUCUGCAACCAGGCCAGUGGAGAUAAUAGGAACUUUGGAUAAUAUAAGCAAAGCAGAGAAACUGAUAAAUGCUGUUAUUGCCGAGGUUUUUUGCUCUCGCUGACUUUCUUGUUCUGCUUUCCAAGAAUCUUGUUCGUCGUUUGUGUUUUCACAGUUGGAGUCUGGAGUUUUUUUUUUCAAGCUGAAUAAGGUUUACGCUCUUUUUUUUUUCAGGCUGAUGCAGGGGGUUCUCCUUCUUUGGUUGCUAGAGGCGUUGCUACUGCACUGGCUGUUGCAGCAGCAGAACAAAUUCAGAUUCAAGUUCCGAAUGAGAAGGUGAUUGCCUUUGCUUCCAUGUUUACAUGGCAUGUGCCUUUGCAUUCCAUAAUACUUUAUAAAAGUCCGAACUUUUCUUCUGCCAGGUUGGUUUGAUAAUUGGCAGAGGUGGAGAGACCAUUAAAGGUCUGCAGACCCGAUCAGGGGCACGCAUCCAGGUAGUUGAUAAUGUAUGCCUUGCCUUUAUGCAUGGGAACAGAAUGGUGCACUUUUUUCUGACUGCAAUGUGUCCUUACUGGCCGGACCUUUUUCCUGUCAUUUAGUUGAUACCCCAACAUCUUCCGGAGGGGGAUGAAUCUAAAGAAAGGACUGUCCGAGUUACUGGUGAUAAGAAGCAGAUUGAAGUUGCAAGAGAAUUGAUAAAGGAAGUUAUGAAUCAGGUUAUUUUUUGACCUACUCCUUGAAAUAUUUUUCUUUUGGGUUUUUAAUUUGUGAUUGCUUAUACAGAGGUUGUUACUUUUGUGGUUAUUAUAUUUUGUGCGAGCGGUAUUGUGGUUGCUACUGUGGUUUCUUCUUCAUUGGACCAUUGUCACUGUAUGCUGGUUGAGUUGUUUUGUUUCUUAUACCUAUUUCUGAUCUCAUACACGUCAUAUUCUAUGCUACAAAUGAUUGGAUGCAUUUCUUUUUUAAUUCUAUUUGACAUGUGCCGGCUUAAUGGUUGUCCCCACUUAGUUGAUAUGUCGUCAACCAUAUCCUAUGCUCGUCAAGAUUUAAGAUAGACAAGUGUUAUUAUUUAGAUGUCUUGAGUAAAAAUGAACUGAGGUAUUUGGAUGUUUUGAUUCUUGUCUAUUGUUUUUUAAGACGCCGAUAAACAAGUACAAUUACAUAUUUGUAUUGUAUGUCCUAUUCAAUUGUCAAGUAGUUUUCUCAGAAGGCCGGUUAAAUAGAAAUUCUGCAUAUUUUGACAUUGAGCAACAUAAUUUUAUGGUUAUGUUAUGAUUAGAUGUCCAAUGAAAUAUAUUUGCAUGCCUGUGACAACUUUUGGUCCAUUUGAGGAAAGAAUUAUUACCAUAUUUUUCCAUGGGAAUGAGAGCAAGACCUUUUGCCCCCAAGAGUUUGCAAUAUUGAUGAAUGAACCAUGCCAACGUCACUUAAUUGCUGUUAGGAAGAUCAUGUAUUCAAUCAAAGAUGCCGGUUGCCAUGAUUUAUUUGUGUUGAAGGUGCCGAUUUCGAAUUGGUUGGCUUUAAAAAUGCAGAUUUGGCUAUUGCAUUUUCCAUGGGGUCAGCAUUGCCUAGACAACCACUAUUCACUGUCAUCCACCGAAGAAAGGUAUCAGGCAUUUAAUUUCGCGAUUGCAGGAUGUUUAUAGUUGGUAAGAUUGCUUUGAGAUCUGAAAGUUGAAAAUCCUAAUUCAGCAAGACUAUAUUGCAUUAGCCUUAGUGCACAUAAGCACCUCCAGUAUUCUAUGCAUGACACGUCCCUGGAAAAAAAUUGAUAUUCCUGGUGACUUGAUGUUUAAAAAGAAUCUGUAUGAAACCCAUAGUCUAAGAGUUAGCGUUUGACCUAUGCUAAUGCACUCAAACAUGUGGUACAUGUCUUCUGAUAUGCAUCAAUUAAGGUAUAGGCAUUUCUUAGGCUAGGGUCAAUUCUAUAAUAAAACAUUAGCAUACGUCUAUUACUUGUUACCUAUUUGAAUCGACUUGAUCUGAUGCUGAAGCAUGUAGCACACAUACGUCAAGUAGAAUUAACAUACUUCUCAAAGAGUUGAAAUCAACAUGAUGUUUCUUGCUUGAUACUUUGAAUGCCUGAUGUGCCUGUAAUUCAAUGUUGUGGCUUUGCUAGAAAUUCAUUCUUCAUUGCAUUUUAGAUGAUGCCUUAAAAAUUGGAGUCAUCAAUAUCAGCUAAUUUUCUUUGCUGCAUAUUGACUGGGGAGAACAAAAAAAGAAAGGGCUGUCAUUACUCUAAAGCAGUGAGAGAAUUUUAGCAGCACUUGGUUAUCUCUGCUAUUUGAGUUUGGAAGGAUUGUUAUAGGGUUAACUCAAGCAUAGAAAACCAGAUUUGUGACUGUUGCAUUAGAUAUCAACUUUGUGUUGUAUCCGAGUAUGGCGAGUAGUUUACUUUUUGACUGGGAAAUGAUACAUGGAUGACUUUGCCGAGGCACCUGGACAUGAGUUUGAUUCUUAGCAUGUCAACAUAUAUAUUUUUUGUUUGUUUGAUAAGACAGGGACUGUGAUAGCCGGAUAAAUAUAGAAAUACGCUGAGUAUACGUUUUGUUGAACAUACUUUCUACGAGUUUGAUGGCCUACUAUUUAUUUUAGCAACCCUUUAAAGUAGUUUGUAUCCAUUUAGGGAACAGUUCUCUGCUAUGUGUAGUCUCAGACAUUAUUUUCUGGUAUGGUUUGUUAAUGGCAAUUUCACAUUGUAUCUCUUGCUAUAGUAGCCCUUGUUCCUUGUAUCCAUUCAUUGCAUUCAGUCAAGACAAUGCACAGGAGCCCCUCAAGUUUAAAGAACGCGAGAUGCGGCUAGAAGAGCAACUUCUGUAUUUAUUUUCUUAAUUAAUUGUAGAUUUGUUGUUUAUAUGUACUAAUUAAUGCAUUUUGUGAUUUGAUUUGAAUAGACUGUGAGGCCAUCAGCUCUCUCCAGUGGUUUUAAUCAUCAGGGUUAUCGCCCCCAUGGACCAGGUGGUUCCCAAUGGGCUCCGCGAGGGCCUCAUCUACCUCAGCCAUCUUCGUAUGAUUAUCCGCAACGAGGACCUUAUCCAUCCCAUAAUCCUCAGUACCCUCCUGCUUAUGGGGGUUAUCCUCAACAUAUGGGUCCAAGAAGUGGCUAUGGUUCUGGUUGGGAGCAAAGGCCACCUUCUAGCAUGCCACAUGGUGGUGGUUAUAAUUACUAUGGUGGACAAGUAGCUGAUGCCCCAGUAUCUGCCCAACAUUCUGCUCCCGUUCCUUCUCAUGCUCCUGGCCCAUCUCCUAACCCUGCAAUGGGUGCACCGUCCCAAGCAAAUUACAAUUAUGGGCAGCCACAUGGUCCAGAUUAUGGUCAUCCGGCACCUUAUUCCCAGGCUGCACCUCCUCAGCAUAACUAUGGGCAUGGAUACGAAGAACCAAAAUAUGAUAAUCAUGCUCCAACGCAGCACCCUUAUGCAGGAUAUGCACCUUCCCAGCAAUAUCCACAAACUGGAGCUCAUCCAGGUUAUGGUCCACAGCAGCAUUACAGCAAGCCACCACCAUACGGCAUGCCAUCACAAGCUCCAACUCCUCAGUCUUAUGGCCCUCCUAGGGCUAAUCAACCAGGAGAUGCAGUUUAUCAGGGUUCUGCACCACCUCACUCAUAUGGUCCGAAUGUUCUAGCUCAACAGUCAUAUCCAUAUGCAUCCAGUGGACCUGCUCAGCAGACGUAUCCUGCAUAUGGUUCUGCACCAGCUGCUGAUGGGUACAGUCAGCCACCACCCGCUUCUGGCUCAGGUUAUCCACAACAAGGCGGGCAACCUGUUAGCUAUGGCCAGCCUGGUGCACAGCAGGCAGCUGGCGGCUAUGGACAGGCAGCUCCUACUGCAGGGUACGCACAAUACCCAUCUUCUCAACAAGGUUACGCUGAGCAGGCUGCUCCAAAUGCAGCAGGUUACGGGUACCAGGGGUCUCAAGACCCUGGAUAUGGAGCUGCCCCUGCAGCAUCAUAUGGUGCACCAGCGGCUGCGCAGCCAGGUUAUACUCAAUCGGCAGCUCAACAAAAUUAUGAUCAGUCAAUCCCCCAGUCCGCCGGUUAUGGAGCUGCACCACCAGCUGCAUCAGCUGGUUAUGGGAAGACGGUGUCUCCUCAGCCUGGUUAUCCCCAGUACGACUCGAGCCAAAUGUAUGCUGCUGCACCUCGUUGAAUAUUAGACUAAUCUUGUUUCUUUUGUCAUAAUUUCAUGUUGUUGUUUGAUGCCAGACUCCUUUUCCCAGUCGUAGUUAGGCCUAAUCAGACUGGAUCGCCGAACUUUUGCGCUUACUGUGUUUCUAUUGAUGUAAUGCAGCGCUAAUGCUUUAUUAAAUUGUGAACCUUAACGAGGGAAUGAGAACGAAAAUCGUCCCUGUAUGUGAAUUUCUUUUUCAUUAUUUUUUCACGAGUCCUUUUGCUCGAAAUGCUUUUAUUGUAAGCAUGUUGAUAUUUUAUCUACAAAUUCAAGUGCUUUUUGAAGAAGUACUUUGUAGGUGUUUCUUCAAAAUGCAUUUCUAUACCAUCAAAAGCGUUUUUAGUGGUCAGGAAUCAGUUUGAGUCAUUCCAUAAACAAUUUUAAACUGGCUGAAAGCCUUUGAUAGCGCUUGGUCGAAGAAAUAAAAAGUGCUUGUAAAAAAAGCACUCCUAAAGAAUUAAUUCCACUUUUUUUUUAUGAUUGACACAACAUACAUAAUCAUCAUAAGUUUGAAGGGUAACGUACAUGGUAUUGGAACACCAUCAUUGAAGUUUUAUUGUGAAUGGUACGACGCCAGAUGAAGAAAAAAAUUUACACAUAUUUUGUUUCGUAGAAGAAUAUUCUGAGCCACAGUAACAAAAUACUCGUGCCACGACAAUUUUUACGUAACUUAUGAGAAGGAAAAGAAAGUAAAUAGGGUGGUGGUUAAAAAGGAAAAGAAAAGAAAAUUAGAAAAAAGGCGUAGGUAGGGUUUAACGUUUAUAGAUUCGAGGUGGAGGUGGGGGUGGUGGUGGGCUGUGUGACUGUUGAUUGUCUAACAAAUGGCAGAGGCUUUCAGGCAGCUCCCUCUCUCUCUUUCUCUCUCUCUCUCUCAUUGAGGAGAGAGUCAUUUGCGUUGCAAGCAAAUGCAAAGAGAAAAGACGGUGAAGGGAAAAGAGAGUAUCUUGUAGGAUACGCAACAGAAGUUACAGAGGUGGUGGCCUGAAUCCUGUGUCGAGACUGACACCUCACCAUCUUCUUCCAACUCAUUUAUUAUCUUACUCCAUGUCGUCACGUGCCAGUUGCCUCCAUCCAAUUCCAAUUUCACAUUCCUUCCCUCCUUCCCUCCCUCCCAUAUUCUGUUCCACAAAAAGAAAAGUUGUAGCAAUACUCCUUUAAUUUUUACUAAAUUAAAAUAAUAGUUUUCAACUAAAAAGGUAUAACCAUUAAUCCCUUAAUUCGUCAAAACGUGCAGCUAUGAUCCUUUCUUCAAUUUUGUUAAAACUUCUAUCAAAAUGAGUUACGUGUCACGCACAAGAGGUUGAAUCGAGGGACAAAUAUGGAAAACCAAAUAAGAAAAAUUGUAGCAAUAGUCCCUCAACUUUAACCCAAUUGGAUAAAUAGUCCCUUAACUUUAACCCAAUUGAUGCAAUGGUCCUUCAACUUUUAUCCAAUUGUAGCAAUGAAGCUUCUAACAUAACUCGUUUUAAUGGAAUUAUGAUAGAGUUAACGAAAAUGACUAUAGUUGCACUUUUUGAUAAGUUAAGGGUUUAGAGUUGAGAAACUAUUGCUACAAUUUUCUCUUCACAAAACUACCUAAAACCCUAAAAUUAAAUUAAAUUGUAAAUAAAAAUCCAUGACUUUAUCUUGUGAGGUACCAUUAUUUUUAAGGAAAACUAAUAAAAAUAACUUGAAAAUGUUGAGUUUUAAAGUUAAUGACAAAAUAAAGGGUAAAAUGAAUAGUAUUAUAAUUGUCUUUUUAGUGUAAAAAUAUGAUUUUUCAUUAAAGUGAACAGUACCGAUAACUUUUCGUUAAAGUAUCCUUAUUUUUAUUCAUUUUGUAUAUCGCUUACCAAGAAAAGGAGGAUAUUCUUUCAUAUAUUUUAGUAUUUUUAUUUCAGCUUACUUCUUUCAAAUUUUUUGCUUUUAUAGUCACAACAAAGUUAUAACUUUUCUUGGAGUUUCAGGCUAAAUUAUGAUUUAGAGAAAUACUAAAUAAACUCGCUUAAAAGUAGAAUUUUCUACCAUCUCAUAAUUUUUAUACAAUAUUAUAUUUUAUAAUGUUGACACGCGAGUUAAUGCUAAACUGUGAGGUGCACUUUGAGAGUCUCCUUAGCAUUUCUCUAUGAUUUAAUAAAAGGAAAACUAAUGAAAAGAGUUUCAAAUCUUUACAUUUUAAUAAAAAACCACCCACAAACUUUAUUUAAUAAUAAGGACAAAAGACUAAAAAAAUAAAAAAACUAACACAUCCAACUUGCGCUCCCCCCCCCCCCCAAAAAAAAACUUCAAACACUCCAUCUUUUUCCUUAAUAGAUUUUUUUUAUUUUUUUUUCUACCAAGAUAGUGAGAAUUUUUUAGUGUGAUCCCUAAAGGAACAUUGGCUGCCAUGCCCAUUGAUUGGAUCACAAGCACUUUUGCUGGAAGGGGUUGUGGGCGAAGGUUUUUUGCAAAUGCAGUUUGCAACAAGGCUGCUGGCGGGCACUUGAGUUUCAUUCCUGGAGGGGGCUACAAAACCUUUGCGACUAGUAGAAUGACACUGCUAACAGCACCGUAUGACUUUGCUAUCGGACAACUUCCAGAUUGCAGCCACUCAUUACCCAAUGCCUUGUGAUUAGAAUCUUAUUUAGAGGAAUUAGAUUUCCUUUGCUGUUUCUUCCAUGCAUCGAAACUGAAUGGCCAUCCAGGACCAAAGAUUGAGAGACAAAUUGUAGCUGCCUUUGUAGCUAAUGGAUUAAACAUGGGUGGUAGGGCCGAAGGUUGAGGCUCAACUAUGUCAAAAGAAUGCGAAAUCCAAAAUUGUGCACUUGGUUCUUUAAGCACACUGUUAGAGACAUAUUUACGGUAACCCCAUAUAUAGUUUAGAUUACUUGCACCUAAAGUUUCUAUAUUGUAAUAUUUUAGUUUCCUACCACUUAUUGGAAAACUCAAAAACUCUUCUUCGGUGUUGAGCAAUCUGAUUCAAAGAGGGAGAAGAAUGUAGGGGAGAAGAAUUUAUGUGCAGAAAGAGAGGACCAUUCAGAGUUACAUUUUAGUAAAUUUUCAUAAACAAUAUCGUAAGUUUCAUAAAUGGUGUCGUAAGUUUUCAUAAACAGUGUAGUAAGGUUUCAUAAACAGUGUAAUAAAUUUCAUAAACAGUGUAUCGUGAGUCUUCGCGUCAGAUUUUUUGUCAUUUUUAUUAAAAUUAUGUCUUUUUCAUUAAAAUUUAAGUUCUUUUGUCAUUUUUAUUAAAAUUUAAGGGGUUUUCUUUAAAAUUUAAGUCUUUUUAAUUAAAUAAAGUUAUAACAUGAUUUUUUAUUAAAAUAAACUUAGUCCAAGCCCUUUUCAUGAAAGUUCCCUUUAAUAAAAUGAUAUAGUUAUAUUAAAGGAAUGAAGGAAUAAAUUGGUUGCUAAUUUGUCAUACUUGAUAUUCGAACAUAAGAUUGCUUACUUAUAAGACAAUAGAAAUACUAUUAGACCGAGAUACUAAGUGACUUACUAAAUUAUAGCUUAAGUUCGUGUGGUUUGAGGGAAGUUCUCAAGUGAUGGUUUCGUUGUAUCCCUAUUUCUAAUUUUAUAUUAUUUUUCUUCUUAUGAUAGGAAGAUUUUAUGGUGUUCAAAAAUGAUGUUCCAAAGUAUUUUAUACUCUUAAGGUUUGUAACCGCUAAAUUGUGCGUAUUGUAUCUUCAAUCAAGAAUUCAAUAACUACAAAUCUUAAAAUAUUCGAUACCUUGGAGCACUGUAAUAAAAUUGCCUUAUGCAUUCAUAAGAUAAUGUUAAUAACAAAAAUGAUGAAGUCAGUAGGUAUUAGUUAUUAGAGUGCAUUUUUUGUCACCAUUAUUUAAUGUAGUGUAUGUUCAUCAUCCUAUUUAUCAUCAUUAAAUAAGUUUAAAUUUUGAGAUUUGUGUUUAUCCACGAUACGAAUCUCGAAAUUCAAACUCAUAUAACGAUGAUUAAUAUAAUGGUGAGCAAAAAUGCUCGCUUAGUUAUUACAUCAUUCGAUAAUGCCUUAAAUUCCAAGAAACAGGGUUAGGAAAAACAUGGUUGAAUUUAAAAUAUAUUUUCUUCUGAAAUUCAGAACUAAAAAAUGUCAGCUAUGCAAAAAGGGCAAAAAUAAACAAAUGUUACUGCUGCACAGACCACAUUCAUACCAAAAAUACCAAAAUACAAGAAAAGUUAAAAAAAAAAAA